rnacentral:lncRNA from 1 species
AAAGGAAAAGGGCAAAAUUGGGAAUUCACCUAAUAUUUUAUUCAUCCAUGAUACAUGGCUUAUUGUUUGAGACACAAGUGAAAAUAAGGGAUUACAAGGAAAAAGGAUAAAAAAAUUACAUCAUUUUGGUAUUGUUGACUUUUUGGUCAACUUUUGACUUUUGGUCAACUUUUGACCAUUGACUCAAUUUUGGAUCCUAAAUAUUCCCAGACCUAUCCCACAUUCAUUUGAUCAUAAGAGUCCAUAAUUUUCAUGAAAAAACAAUUAUGUCAUGAACAUGUUUCAUGAAAGGAUUUUCAACACUUUCCAUCCUUCAAGCUCUCUUUUCACGACUUUUUCUCCUUCUUCCCUUGGGGCUUCAAGAUAAUUCUUCCACCACUUUGUUUACCUUGCUACAAGGAAGAGAAUGAAACAAGCCAGUCACCAAUCUCAUCAAUCAAAAUCAUCCAAAAGCUAUGGAAAAGUCACACAAAAAAUUGCAUAAACACUUGGAAAAGUUUUGGCAUGACAUCUCUAUUUUCUCAAACUUAUUCAUACACACAAAAAUUGGGAAUUUGAUCCAUAAUUUGCAUCAUUCAAAAUUACUUAUUUCCAACAACAAAUCAAUUCCCAACAACACUUGAAGACGUAUGAUGAUUCACAAAAAAAUCCAAUUCCAAAAGCAUUAAAAAUCAAGGCAAAUCAAAGCAUAAAUUCAAUUAUUUGCAAGUUCCAAGUUUGUGAUCAUUCACCUUACCCCUAAACUUGGUACUUAUGCUAAAAUCAAACAUGUCUUGCUUCUAACUAUCCUUAACGACCUAUUUUAACACAACCAUGCAUUUACUUUUAUCCUUAUCCUCCCUAACUAACUCUAACUUCCUUAAAGUUCACAAACUAACACAAAACUAAGCAAGUUUUAAUCAAACCUCAACCAUUGAUAACAAUUAAUCUAAUGGCUAAGCUUAAUGAUUCACAACUAACAUUUUGAUUAAUUUCUAACCGUUGAUAAAGUGAUGAGUUGGAUCAUAAUCCAAUAAACCAUAAUCAACCAAAAAAUCUAUAUAAUCCUUCUUCUUUUUUUCCAUUUUUGGAGGUUAAUGACUCUAACCUUUUUUUCACCAUUUUUUGCUUAUAACCUCUAAAUUUUAUCUUAACCUUUUCACCAUUUCCAUCACCUCCACCAAAGUUCAUCACCAUUACCAUUUAGAAUUUCACAUUGAAAUUCUAGUUUUGGUAGAACUCAACCACAAGUAUUCAACAAUUAUCAUUCAACAACUCAAGAUUCAUCACAAUUCUCAAUAACUCAGGUGUUCAUCAAUUUUCAACAAUCUCAUCAAGAUUCAAGCAUGGAUCGCUUUUCUACCAUAUCCUAAUUUCCAUCUUUUAAUCAUCAAUAUUCAUCUUAUCAUUUAGAAGCAUAAUAAAAGGAUUACUUCUUGAAGUUUUUCCAGAUUUUGCUUCUUUUCGGUAAAAUUACAAUGUGCACCAGAGAAAAUUUAGGCUUCGUUGAUAAGCCUUGAACCUUUAAUAUUUCCAUGCCAUUACCAUGCAUCAUCUUGUGUGGUUGAUCUUGUUAAUUGCAUGUGGUGAAACCUUUAGAUUAUGCUAUUGUUUUAAGGUUAAACAAUAGUUUAAUUAUUCAAGAUUUGAUCAUUAAAGUAGCAUGAAUAUGAACAUAACGUAGUCUUCUCUAUAGUCUAACAAGGAUUUGCACUUAACAUAGCAAUAGACUUAUAGUUAGUAUAGCAAUAACUUUGAUUUAGGCAUGGAGUAAAAUAGUUUUUUUUACGUAAGCAUUUAUUUCCAAAGAAAAUCAAAGUGCAAGUAACAUAGAAACUAGCUUAACAAAUAGUCUCUAACUCUUAGCAUAAUCAUUGACAUAGAAUUAACGUACUUGACAUAGAGAUUAAACAAGUCCAAAACAGAAAAUUAGCUUCAUGAAAACAAACAACUUUUUUCCAUAAGUACUUAUUUGCAUUUCAAAAAAAUCAACUUUUCAAGUGGUAAUUAGAAUGACAAUUUCUAGCAUAAUUUUAGCAUUCAAUUUACAUGAUUUACUUUGAGUUAGCACUAAUAGAUUGUUAGAAUAAUUCAUUUUUCUACGAUUUCCAAACAUGUCUUAACAUAAAAAAAAAAGUUAUUUUUUUUUAAUCCCAACAUCUCCAAUCCAUCCUAAACAAUGAAAAUCAUCAAAAAUAAACACUCAAUCAUGAAAAUUCAUAACAAUUCAAGCAUGGAACACUUUUAUUUGAACAUUUUUGAGCAAGAUUUGGAUUUUUUUCCACUUACCUCAAAACCUUGGAGAAGCAUCAAUGGAGCUUGGAAGAAUUGGAGAAGAUGAAAAAUCACAACACCCCUUGGAGAAGGGAGGACCGCCGCCGGUCGGCCCCGCAAGGAAACCACCCUCGCGGCCGGGUGGAAGUGCACAACGGCACUUUUUUUCCCUUUCUUCUACGACCUUUCACAUUAAGCUAAGUAGGGAGAGGGGAUAAUAUGGAUCGGUUCGGUCUGGUCUAGUGAACCGGCCGGCCGAUCCGGUUCGGUUGGGGGGUUUUCCUUUUUAUUUUAUUUUAUUUUAUUUUAUUUUAAGUGCAACUUUUCAUGUCUUUUAGUGCAGCCCAUUUUUUCUUUUGUUUUUUAAUUGCAGCCCAAUAUAACCUUAAGCCCAUAUUUUCUCUACACCUCACUUUGGUCCUAAACCUCCAUAAUCUCCUCUUAAUUUGUUUUUUUCUUAAUUGUUUUCAUAUUGUUUUAGGUUAUAAUUAGGAUAGAAUUAGAGAUUAAUUAGAUUGUUAAUUGGGUUAGUUAAAAUAUUGUUUUAGGUGAUUUAGAAUUUUUAGAUUUUUAGAAUUAAUAAUUAAUUAGAAUAUGAUUCGAGGUUAAUUAGGGACUUAGUUUUUUAGAAAUGACUAGGUUUUAGAAUUCAAUUAGAGUAAUUAGAAUUUUUAGAACUUAAUUGGGGUUUAGAAAUAAUUCGAAUUAAAAAACUUAGGAUUAGAAUAAUUAGAAUUUUAAUCUUGUUAGUUAGACUUUAGAUAUUUAAUUUAAUUAAUUUUUUUGAACUUGAUUUAAGUUUUAAAAAUUAAUUAGAUUAAUUAAUUUUUAGAACUUGUUUAGGUUCUUGAAAUUAAUUAGAUUGGUUAAUAUUUAGAACUUGAUUUAUGUUUUAGAAAUUAAUUAAAUUAAUUAGUUCAUUAAAAAUUGUUUAGAUUUUUAACUUCUAAUUAGAUUUGUUAAUAUGAUUAGAAACAUUAGAUUUUAAUUGAUUAGUGAUGAUGUUAAUUAGGUUUUAACUAAUUAAUCUUUUGUUGUACAUAAUUACCAACUAAUUCAAUCCCUUUGAAUAAGGUGAUCAAAAGAAAUUUUGAUUAGCUAAAUCCUUUGAUCUUUGUAUAAUCCCACAGUCAAUUCAAGUGAUCAAAAGUUUAUUGAUGACUUGAUAGGACUAGUGCUCGCAAUGUUGUGGAUCUUAAGACCAUAAGUUCAGACUUUAAAUCAAGGCAUCCCAUACAAAUCAAACAGUGGAUUAUACAAAGCAUAUCAAAAGUGUUUCUUCAAGAGCUUGUCAGUCAAGAUUCAAAUUGUACGCCAUGAGCUUCAAGUAACAAAGAAUGAUGAGAGUGGAGAAUUCAUAUCCUUGUCUAGGGUAUCUUUGGGUACGGGACGAAUGACCCAGUUGCUCAAGGUAUUCGCCUUUGUUCAUAGACUUUAAUGCAAUUCGUACCGAAUGAUUGAUAAGGUCUUAAUCAUCACAAGGAGCGACAAUGAUUCUUUUUAAACAACUUGAAAGUUAUGAUGGGAAUCACAUGUUACGAGCCUUAAGUAAAAAAGAAUGAUGAGAGUGGAGAAUUCUUAUCCUUGUCUAGGGUAUCCUUGGGUACGAGACGAAAUACCAGUUGCUCAAGGUAUUUGCCUUUGUUCAUAGACUUUAGUAUGGUUCAUAUCAAAUGACUGCCAUGUCUUCUUCAUCUUCUAUUAUCAUACCAUUCCUCUUGCCUCAGCCUUUUGCUGUCAGCCGUAGUAGGCUGAACUACAAAUGCUCUGACUUUCUCAUUGCACAGUAAGAAUACAUAGGCACGAGGAUUCGGAUUCUCCGCGAGUUAUCUUAUUUAUUUCUACCUCAGUUGUUAUCAUUCAUCAAUCAAUACCUUCUUUUUGAGAUCAAAUAUAUUAUUCCUUGGAUUCCAUGCACAUCCUUUUAGGACGAUUUAAUCGGAGUCUACCUUGUGAACCAAGAGCUGUUUGGCAUAUUACAAUAUACUUAAUUCCUUUGUUUUUUGUUAUUACAAUACAGUGAUACCAUGCCUUAGGCCCCUCACUUGUUGGUUUACCUUUAAUCUUCAGUUCAAAGUGUAUUCCUUCAUGGAUUCAAUAUAUCAUUCUUUGGUUUCAAAUUGUUUAUUCCUUACAGUGAUAUAUUGUUCCUUAUACCAAUCAACACUUUCCUUUGGGCCCCAUACAUAUCCUUUUAGGAAGAUUUAAUAGAAGUCCACCUUGUGAAUCAAAGGGUGUUUGGCUGUCAAACCAGACAUUUAAUCCCCUUUGUUUCCGGUCAUUCCAAUACAGUGAUAUCAUGCCUUAUGCCCUUCACUUAUUGGUUUGUCUGUUUACUCUUUGGUUAAAAGUUAAUUUGCCUUUAUGGUUUCCCAAUCAUCAAUUAUCUCUCUCUUUGUUUUCGUGGUUCCACGAACUACAAAUGCUCUGACUUUCUCAUUGCAUAGUGAGAAUACGUAGGCACGAGGAUGCGAAUCCUUGGCGAACAUAUUCCUAUUUAUUUCUCGCUCUUAUGCCUUAGGGCACCAUCCAUAUCUUUCAUGAUCCAUAACCUACCUUUAAUCAUGAUCAUUCACCUUAGUGACAUACUCCCUUUCUUUGGAACCAAAUACAUACUUCUUUAGAGUUCCAUACAUACCCUUUUAGUAUAAUUGUCCACCUUUGUGCCAAGAGUUAUUUGGCUUAUUGUCAAACAUUUAAUGCCUUGUUUUCGACCCAACCAUACACUAAUAUCAUGCCUUAGGCCCCUCACUUGUGGUUUGUUCCACCUUUACUUUGUGGUUGCAAAUAAUAUUUCUCUUAUGGAUUCCAAUAUAGCCUUACAUUUAGUUCCAAAUUAUACCAUUCAGUAACUUUUAUCAAACCCUUCAUUUCUUGGACUUUGGAUACUUUUCUCUAUCAUUCUAUUCAUCUCCAUGAUGCAUUCAUUCACUCGAUGUGAUAUACUAGUUAUCUUUGAUCCAAAUAAACUAUUUCUUUGAGCUUCAUCUUGUGUAUGCUUGUGAACCAAGAGUUGUUUGGCUUAUUGCCAGACACUUAAUUCUUUUGUUCCAGUUAUUCCAAUACAAUGAUACCAUGCAUUAGGCACCUCACUUAUUGGUUCAUACCAGUUUUACUCUUGGGUUCAGAUUUCAUCCAUGUUUGGAGUAAAACAAUAUUAUCCUUUGGUUCAGACAAUACCUUUAUCACUUUUCUUUUCACCUCCCACCACUAGUUCUAUGAACUACGAAGCUCUGAAUUCCUUAUUGCACUAUAAGGAUACGUAGGGGUGAGGGCCAUAAUCCUCUCUGAGCACUUUAUCUAUUUCUUUUUCUUUUCCCUCAUUCUUUUGCGAGUAAACCUUAGAUAUAACACCCCUUCGAGCAAGAACAAUCAAAAUGGUUUCCGUUGAGUACAAUAGAUGUGAGGGGUGUUAAUACCUUCCCCUUGCAUAACCGACUUCCUUACCUAGUUUCUCUUUCCCAAAUUUUUAUGAUGUUUUCCCUUUCCUUCGGGAAUAAAUAAAGUUUGAUGGCGACUCUAUUGUAUGUUCGAGCGUGCGAUGCGUUCAGGUAUAUUUCCGCUAAGAAGCAUUCUAGGGCAUCCAAUGAUUAAAUACAUGGUACAACUGAAAGGGAGGAAUUCCAACACUGUCCACUUGUUGAAUGGCACAGGCUUUUCCAAAUAGCUUUUACUUUUUUGUGGGGCUUUGUCGAAUUGUCUCGAUCUCUUUUAGUUUCAUCCAAAGCAACAAGCCUGUCAUUAUUUUUCUUACAUCGUCGUUUAGAUGGAGGAUGAGUAACUCCCGAGGACACCAGGGUUCUCAUAUCAACUAGGGAAGUUCCACACUCGUUCAUGACCAUGGUAGGUCUCUCAAUCGAAGUAGGGUCGACCGAAAGCAAAGUACCUUCUUCUCCCUCUCUCUUGAUCUCAUAUGAAAGGAAACAAGAAGAUCAAGGGGAUAAGUUUAAUGCAAUUUAACAUCAAUCAAAUAAAAUAUAAUCAUAUCAAGUACCAAAAAAUGUUUUCCUCUACUCAAUAGAUUUAGCGCCCGCGGAAUCUCAAUAAUUUAUCCCGCUGUCAGAAAAUGAAAGAAAGGUCACCUUCAUAGCUUUCUCGUCAUUGAUAAGGGAGUUAUACAAAAUAGACUAAAAACUGGCUUUCUCAUCAAAGUGGUUCGGGGUCCAGAACCUCCGGGCUCUUUCAAUACAAUUAGCCGACCCCAAAGCAGAUGUCGAGAAAUUACAAAUUUUCAAAUGAGCUAUGGGGGAAAUAGGAGUUGACAGGAAAUAAUGAGGCUUGAACUUCUUCAAACUCUCAUUGUAAACCUGGAAUAUAUUUUUGUCAUUCUAACGAAGGGGGACUAACCCAUGGCCAGACCCUUCCCUUGAAGGAGGGUUCACGGAAAAAAAGGUGAGAGAAGAGAUAUUUAGAGGCAUAACCCAUUUUCCCCUUGUAUUCGUACCAAUAUUGGAACACCCUUACAGAAGCCCAUGAAUUAUGGUAGAGUUGUGAGGAAGUAAUUUGAAGGUGACGCAACACCUCAUUUUCAAAAGCAGCCAGGGGGAAGCUGAACACCCAACUUCUGGAAGAUGCAAUCAUAGAAGGGAAUAAAGCAUCCAUCAGACUUGCUACAUAUCCUCGUAUCCUUAGGAAUGAAUGAGGUAGUCAAUUCAGAGGAUGAUCCCAUCUCGAAGGUAGCCUUCUCCAUAGUAGUCUUAUGGAUAUAAGAAGAAACUAUCCCUAGAUAUGCAAGGUCCACUCAUGGAUAAUCACCGCAUCACUUGGCUUCAAAAACUCUUCAGGUCAAACCAUUUCCAUCUUUGCAUCAUAAAAUGAAUCAUUCUGAUCAGCGGCAAUAAAACAUCGGCAGUGAGGCUUUUCUCGAGAGACUGAAUAUAACAACCAGUCUCAUGCUCCGCCAUCUUAGAUAAUGUAAGACCCAAAUUAAAUUCGGUACGAGCAAGGGAGGCGACGCAAAUGACAACUUCCCCUAUCGACGAAUCAUCCUCAUCACCAAAAGAAUCCAACCCUGACCCAGAGUUACCAUUAUGGGCAUAUUGGACAGGAGCGGGAGAGUCCACCCCGUAGAAAAUUUCAGCGAGUUUGGGGUUCUCAACUCCAACAGAUGACGAGGACUCAUCACUAUCUAUACCAAGAGCAUUGUUUAUGGGCACACUCUCUAUGUUAACUAUAAUGACACACAUAGAAAGGAUGAUGACGUGCCUUGAAAAGAUAAGACACAAAAGGAAGAAUGACCCACAAACUAAAAAAACAACGAAAGACUGAAGUUACCGGUGCACUUGAACAAGAGAAUGAACUCAGAAGGGGGAGGCAAGUUCCGAAUGAUAGACGAAGCAAAAGAGACGUUUGAAAGAUAGUCAACCCCCUUUUAUAAUAAGAUCAACAACAAACUAAUGAUCCAAAUAAGUAGUUAAGGGGGAUUCAAGGGUGAUGGAUUAAUUGUUCCUUGGGAAUAUAAAUGGUUCAAACGCACUCGAGCACCCUAGGUAGGGGAACCAUGCCCUAACCUGCAAACCUAAAGUGAUGCGCCUGAAAGGCAAGAUAGACGUCUCAAUGAUGGGGAAACAUUAAUGCGUUUGUCACCCAUUACUUUCAUAACUGAUCCAUAACUUUCCCGCUUCUUGCUACAGUCGGACAUCAUCACUAAGGAUCGACCACAACUUCGAAAGAUUUCUUGGCUAGUAUACAUCUGACAAGCCUUGAGGGCGACUGAUUUGGGCCUACAGAAGGCCCAAUACUAAAGUCCAAUCACGCUCAAGCCCAAUCAAGAUUUUUCAACGUAUAUAGUCAGCACACUUGAGAUUCCAAAUACACUUUUAUAAUCUCCACUUUUAAUUAUACUCAUUUUGAACACCAUAAUUGACUUAAGCAUUAAAGUGUUAACCUUGCAAGUUCACUCCGCGGUGCUGCAUCAAAAAUCAGCAUCGGUAAUUCCAGAGUCCGACGUCAUCAAUCAAUAUCAAUUCUGAUUUAAAUAUGGAACAAAAUUAAUUUGAAUUUUUUUAAUUAAGGAUAAAAAAUAUUUUUUUUAAGGGGUUUGUUCAAAAAAGAAAUAACAUAAACUUGUUAGUGUAUCUUUUUAGUUCAAGGGUAUUCAAUUGAAUCCCCUCGUAAAACCCUGCCUCAAUCCAUGUCUCUCACCUAAUGCAUCACGCUCCUAUAGAUCUCAAGUUUCAACAAUUGUGAACAUUUUAAUAUUUCACCUAAAAGCAUGAGUCAUGUAGUACCUAAAUUUUAUUCAGACAAUUAAUAAAAUUCAAAAAAUGUGAGAACAUCGUGUUUUAUUCUCUCGCAUUUUUCAUCAUUAUUAUUUUCUUUUAAAAAUUAUAAAAAUGUGACAACACACAAAAUAUCUUGUGCAGAUUGACAAUGUGGCAAGUAACAAAAUAUCUUGUGCAGAAGGUCAUGUCAAAGUUUGCUUGAAAAUUUUCAAACUACAAAUGAUUUUCAUGUUGGAACAUACGAAGACUUGGUAAUCGGAUUCAUAUUAAUAUUGUUUAGAAAAGCAAAUCAUUUAACACAAAUCAAAUUAAAAUUGAUUAUAAAUCCCUUCUUUAAACAUUUCUUCUUCAUAGCUCAAAAUAACUAAUAAAGUUAAAUUGUUGCAAAAUAAUGGAUAUGUUUUUUUUAUAUAUAUAUUAUUAGUUACAUUUUUUAAUUAUAUAUUUUAACUAAUACUAUAUGUAUCGUUUUCAAUUCAAUAUCUUUUUAUUUUACAUUUAUGAUAAAAAUAGAUUUACUAAUACAUGAUAAAAAAAAUUAGAAAAAAUAUUCAUUUAUAUACUUUUUUAAUUUAAUUUUUUAGAAUUAUUUUUUUAAUGUAUUUGAAUUAGUCAAUUAGUUAUUUUGGAAUGAAAAAAGCGUUAUUCUAUUCAUAAUAAUUGACUUUAAGAUUUUUUUUUAAAAUAUAAAAAUCUUUGUUAUAAGAAAAAAAGAAAAAGAUACAAAUGAGGAGUUAGAGUUAGAUAACUUGCAAUUCAUUGUACUACCUUGUUAUUCCUAAGGUAUUCCUAGGUUUGUUUCAUUUUUAGAUUUUGAUCGCUUAUGAAUCUCACUUUGUUAAGAUAUUUUAGAUACUUUUUCUUAUUUUUUCUAACUUAUGAUAUGAAUCUCACUUUCCCAUAUUCAAUAUAAAGAUCAUAUAUUUUAAUCCAAGGCUGUACAUUAGUAUUUUUCAUCAAGUUCGGAUUGAAGUCUAGUGUCCACGUGAAUACUUAAAGAAUACCAUGAGAUAGAGUCCACAACCCUACUCUCAAAAUCCUCAUGAGAUCCUCAAUAGAUAAAAAUGAAGAAAAAAAACAAAAACAAAAAACUCUUACCGAUAAGUUUAAUGAACCAUUUUCCAAGAACAUUCCAAACAAUAUUUCAUUUUUCAUGUCAUGCAUCAAUUAUUAAAAAAUAUUCUUCUCUCUUUAAUAUUGUCCUUCCCAUCAAAUAAAUUUUUGUAGGUCACAAAAUCAUGACAUAAUCCUUUUAUGAAAUUUUUAUGAUUAUUACAUCCUCGUGUGGGUAGUUGGUUUAGAGAUAUAUCUUAAAUGUUUUUUAAAAUAUAAUUGAAUGUCUUCAAAAUCAAAUCAUAAAUCUGAACUAAAUUUGAACCAAAAAAGAUUUUAAUGACUUUAUAAACAAUAUUACGAAAGAUUGCGACUUAUAUCUCUCAUUAACAGUAUUCCUUAUUCUGCGAGAUUCUUCUGUAAGAUUCAAUUGGCUUUAAUUGUAACCAAUUAAAUUAAAUAAGAAUCCAAGACAUAAUAAAUUAUUUUAUAAACUAAGCAUCCUCUACGUAUAACUGCAAAGACUAAUCCCUCAAGUGUUGUAUGACUAUAAUAGAUUGCAAACUUGUUGAAGGAUAAUUCAUUAUUUUAGUAUUUCGUCUAUGUAACAUUAUUGUUUGUGUAUAUAAGUAGAUGUGUGCUUAACCAUUAAGAAUGCAAUAGUUGUAAGAGCAUUCUGUGUAGCAGUGUGUGCGCGCAACAAUUUAUUGUAAUUGUUUUAGCAGAGUAGUGGAAGUUUGUUAUUCUCUCUUCUCUCUCUUCUUUCAUCUUCAUUCAUUUCACCUUAUGCACCAACAAUUGGUAUCUAGAGCUCCGGUUCAGAUCCACAUGGAAACACAGGGAACCACGAGUGAACGGUGAGGCAUUGUGUGAUUGAUUUUGUUUCUUGAGUUCAUGUUGAACUUUUGAUUGGAAUCGUAACAGAAUCACAUUUCUUGAUUCUUCGGGAUUGGGAAACACUAGUGUUUAGUGAGAUCUAAUUUUUGCACAAGGUUGAAGAUGAACGGAAACGGUAAUCUGAAUACCAAGCUUCCAGUGUUCGGUGGCAAGAAAUGAAAUCGUUGGAUGAUUCAGAUGUGUGUGUUGUUUAAUGCUCAAGAUGUUCUUGAUUUCGUCAAUGACGAUUACGUUCCAGUUGCACUUCCGGCAAAUGCAACGGAUGCACAGAGAAAUGCUUAGCGUGAUCCGAGGAAGAAGGAUCAUAAGAUGUUGUUCUACAUCCAUUAGUGUAUGGAAAAGAACGUGUUUGAGAAAAUAGAGGAUUCAAUGACGGCAAAGGCUACGUGGGACACACUGGUAUGGUACUACGACGGUGAUGCAUUAGUGAAGAAGGUAAAACUUCAGUCUUUACGUAAGCAGUAUCAGAAUCUCAACAUGAAGAACAAUAAGAAGGUACUUGACUACAUCUCCAUAGUAAUUUUAAUCACAAAUGAGAUGCUCGUGUGGAGAAACUCUCUCUGAAGAAAGUAUCACUGAGAAGGCACUUAGAUCUCUUACUCCUCAGUUUGAUUACAUCUUUGUAGCAAUUGAACGUUCUAAGGAUCCGAGACCAUGAGAAUAGAAAAGCUGCAAAGCAGUCUAGAGGUGCAAGAGUUGCGUCUGACUGAAAGAACCUCUGAUCCUUAGGUAAAGCAGGCUUUGGAAACUUCUUUUGUCAAGAAGGACCAGAAGCAGUCUUGGUCAGAGGCUAAGAAAAGACAUGGUAGGUCUCAGAAGCCUCCCAUUUUGAUGAGAAGAAAUAUCAGAAGGAAAGGGAGAAGCUUGACAAGAGAAUGGUUCAAUGUUACUGUUGUAAUAGGUUUGACCACUUUGCUAAGGAAUGUUAGUCAAACAAGGAAAGGAAGUCAGAAGAAGCAAACAUAGCCAGAGGAGAUUAUGAUGAUGAACAUGUGCUAUUGAUGGCUUACAAAUCUGAUGAUGAUGAAUUGUGUGAUUUCUGAUUUCUAUUUCUGAAGGAGACUCUGAAUAUGAAUCAGAGUCAGAAGAUGACUCUGAAUCUAAAGUCGAGUCUGAUUUUGAAUAUGAGUCAGAAUCAGAAGAUGAGCCAGAGUCUGAAGGUUAUAAAGAAGAGUCGAAAUCUGAGGGUUCUGAAGAUGAGUCAUAGUCAGAAGAUGACUAUGAAGCUAAAGAUGAGUCAGAAUCAUAAAAUGAUUCUGAAGGUGACUCUAAAGGUGAGUCUGACUAUGAAGGAGAGUCUGACUCUGAAGGUGAAUCUGAUUCUGAUUCAUAUUCUACUGUUGAUUCAGACUCUGGUGGAGAUCCAGACUCUGAAAGUGGUACUUAUGGAGUUCCAUCAUUGAUAUUAUUUCAGCGUACGAAGGAGAUUCUGAACAAGUUCAUAGGCCACAAAGAAUCAGAAAGAUUCCAAUAAGGUUUGUAGAGUUUAACAUACUGCAAGAUACUGAAGUAGACUCUAAAGGAGAAGCCAUUUAGUGUGCCAUGUUAGUAGACUCUGAACCAAUGAGUAUCGAAGAAACUCUCAAGAAGAAAGUGUGGAUGAAGGUCGUGAAAGAAGAACUUGAGCUUCUAAAGAGAUUUGAGUUACUGAAUUGUAAGGUUGUUGUCACACCGUCAGAAAUAAAUCACAAAUUGGAUUCCGAUUCUAAAGGUGAUGAUGUAGAUACCACAACUUUCAAGCAAUUGGUUGACUCUCUGAGGUAUUUGUGUAAUACCAGACCUGACAUUUGCUAUACAGUUGGAAUGGUUAGUAAGUUCAUGAGUAAGCUGAAGUGGUCCAAUUACCAAGCUAAUGUCAGGAUCCUGAGCUAUAUAAAGGGAACUUUCAAGUAUGGAGUUUUGUUCCCUUCUGGAGGAAAGGCUAAUUCAGAGCUGAUGGGUUACUCAGACUCUAAUUGAUGUAGAGACAGAUUUGAUAGGAGAAGUGUUGGUGUAAGCCCUAGAGGCCAAUACUUUUGGUACUUGUAUCGAAUUAUUUAUUAAUAAUAAAAGGCUUUUUCUUUAUUAUGUGUGUUUAAUAAAGUCCAUAGAAUAGCUAGUCCGUUUAAUGUAUCAAGUAUGACUUAAUCAUGAGAUCAUAUUAAACAUAAGGACACUAUUCUUAAAGUAUCCGUAGUCGAGCUAAUAACACUUCACCCUAUUGUAAUUUCGUAAAAGACUAUUAUGUAUAUAGAUUGAUGAUCACAUCUCAUGGAUCAUGGAUAAGGAGUUAUCAAGUCUUAAACAUAGGUAUGAAUAUUAAGAGUAAUAAUUAUACUGAAUUGACCCGCUAUGAGAAUACUAUAUAGAAUGUUAUGCAAAGUGUCAUAAGUUAUUCUCAUGGUGAUAAUGGUGUAUACCACCCUUCGACCUGAAACCACUAUGGAUCUUAGAUGUGGAGUUGAGUGCUUUAUUGGUGAUCAAACAUUGUCCGUAACUGGAUGACCAUAAAGACAGUUGAUGGGUACUCCACGAAGCAUGCUAAGGGAAAUGAGUGACCUAGAUGGAAUUUGUCCAUCCUGCGUAACAUGAUAAAUGUCUAUGGGCCCAAUAUUGAACUGGACAAGGAUGACACGGUCUAUGCCUUAUGUUCAAUAUAGACAUAAGGACAAAAGGGUAAUUGUACACAUAAGUAUUAUCACAGAAGGAUUUGUCAGAUCACAUGACAUUUUCGUGUCUUGGGUAGCAGUGAUGUGUUGCUAGAUACCGCUCACUGUUUAUUAUGUUAAAUACGUGAUUUAAUAUAAUUGUCAAUGCCCGAAAACCUACAGGGUCACAACAAAGGACAGAUUGAUGAGAGAUAGAGUAACUAAGGAACAUCGUAAGAUACGGUGCACUUAAGUGAAUUAUAGAACAUCGUAGUACGGUGUACUUGAGUAGAAUACGAAAUUGUAAGGUACACGCGCUUAAGUAUUUUGGCAUAUAUAAAUAUGGGCCACUUACACUUAAGUGAGCUUUUUAGCUUGAAGCCCACACAAGUGGUUCUAUAAAUAGAACCCUUGUGCAGAAGCAUUAAUUGCGGUUGCAUUUUCGUUCUCUCUCUCUCUCUCUCUCUCUCUCUCUCUCUCUCUCUCUCUCUCUCACUCACUCAAAGUCUUCAUUCGUAGCAGCUAGCACUGAGAUUGAAGGAAUCUGUUCGUGUGGACUGAGUAGAGGCGUUGUCAUCGUUCAACGUUCGUGAUCGCUCUGUAGAUCUGCAUCAAAGGUUUCAAUUGUCACAAGAGGUAACUAUUUUAUCACUGAUAAUGCCCAUUCGUAAGGAUCACUAAAGGAGAAAUUUUAAAUUCCACUGCAUUUUGGAUCGCCCUUCUCCUUCAAGAAGUACUUCUAGAUACUUGUUUAAGUUUCUAAGAAGUCCUAUUUCUUGGUGUUCCAAGAGGCAAUCAGUUGUUGCUUUGUCAACAUGUGAAGCAAAAUAUAUUGCAGGUGUUGUGGCUAUAUGUCAAGCUGUUUGACUUCUGAAUUUACUGUAGAAUCUGAAGAUCGUCAUAAACAAGCCUGCGAAGCUGAUGAUUGAUAACAAGUCUGCAAUCAAUCUUUUAAAGAACCUAGUGCUGCAUGGGAGAAACAUUAUAUUGAGACUAAGUAUCAUUUUCUGAGAAUUCAGGUUCAUAAUGGAGUGCUAGAAGUUAUGCACUGUAUGACUCAGAAGCAGCUGGUAGAUGUUCUGCCGAAAGCGAUCAAGACUGAUCAAUUUCUCCAUUUGAGGGAUGAAAUUGAUGUUGUUAGUUUUGAUUAGUUAAAUCCUGAAUUAAGGGAUGUUGUUGAAGGGUAAUUAAGUAUUUUAGUAUUUCGCAUAUGUGACAUUAUUGUUUGUGUAUAUAAGUAGUAGUAUGCUUAGCCAUUAAGAAUGUAAUAGUUGUAAGAGUAGUUUGUGUAGCAGUGUGUGUGUGUGCAACCAUUUACUGUAACCGUUUUAGCAGAGUAGUGAAAGUUUGUUAUUCUCUCUUCUCUCUCUUCCUUCAUCUUUAUCCAUUUCAUCUUGUGCAUCAACAAAACUAUCCCUAAGAAAUUUAACUAUGUUCAUGUCUAAGGCUAAAUUCAAACUUAUGACUACUAGUUAAGCUGAAAGAGACUUCACCAUCUCAUCUAAAUACUAUUGAAUAAGACAUAAUAAAUAAUUGAAUUUAUGACAAAAAUUAAAUAUGUUUGAUAAUCUGAAUAUUAUAGUUAUUAUAGUUAUUUGGAAGUAUAAAAUCCUUAUACAGUUUUAGUUAAUCCGACAAUUAUAGUUAUUUGACAAUUUGACCAUUAUUUAAAAGUCUCUUUAAAAAAAGUCUUUUAAUAUAUUUUUAUUUUAAAUUACUAAAUACUUUUAUUACUCUUUAUUAUUUUAAAUAUUUUUUUUAGUAAAACUAUUGAUUUGUGCUGAGACAUUAAAAAUCAUAAUUAAACACAUCUAUUCAGGAAAAUGUAUCAAUAAACAUACAAAGUACAUUGUCUACUUUAUCUAAUAUCUCUUAAAAAUGACAAAAGAGACUUUCAUUAUUACAUCAUCUAAAAACAGAGUAGAAUUGUCAAGUUUCUUAGGCAGAAGUUACAUUACAUGAAAUAUUAUACUUCUUGCCUAAUUACUUUAUCUAGUAGUAAUACUAUAAUUUACGUUAUGAAUUAAAUGACUGAAUAUACAUAAAUUCCAAAAUAAACUUGUUUUGUUGAUUAAUGCAACUAGAAAUUGAGGAUGUUGGAGUAAGCAGUCCAGUUUUGUAGCCAAGGACUGUUAAGCUGAGUCCAAAAGGUAUCUUGAGUCCAAUCCGUUACAAUAGGUAACUGUAACUCAGGAACAUUGUCCUUCCCUAAGGGCAAUUGCAACGAUGUUCCACAAGCUUUUUUGUUAUUAUGACAUGGUUUCUCAGUCAUGGUCACCUGAGAAACCAUAUCAUGAGUUUUUGUCUCUGUUUCAUGUUGGGAUUCUUCCUUAGGAAUAACUUGUUGGAACAAUAUCGGUAAUGACACGUGUUGGUCUUGUUGUGUGUAGUUAAAGGAGAUUGUGUCCGUAGAGGAAGGUGGGGAUGUAGGAGAACCCACCACCAUUUGUUUCAUCUCUUCUUCUUCAGCUGCUCUUUGUUCAAGCACUUUCAACGAAGUUGCCUUUCUGUAUAUCUUGCACAACACUAUGUCCUGUCAUAUAAAUACCAUAACAUAUUUUUAGUAUUUAUGUUUCAUUAUUUGUUGCAUGAAUGAAACAAGAGGUUCAUAUAGGGACCACACAAUAGAUGUACAAAACGAAAAGUGUCACUACCUACCUAUUUUCAUGGAAACUUCCUUUUACAUUUCAGCUAUAAGAUAUUCAUGUUAAUUAGUUAUUUACCACUAACUAAGAAAAUUAUCUCAUAUUAGUCCAAUUUAUGAUACUAAAACACUACUAUAACAUGGAAAAGUGUUAAAAAAAUUACUAACAUUCAUUAGGUUGAAAUUUCUAUGGUUAUGACUUAUGGUCAAUUAAUUAGUCAUAUGAUAGGAACCAAAAAUAUAAAACAGAAUGGGUCUAAGGUAGACUAUAUAGUUGAAAUUCAAAUGAAAAAUGAUAUGAUAUAGUACCUUAGGCAAGGGGCUAUUGUCAGGUAAACGAUACUCAUUCAUGACCCAAUCGGUCUUGCUUCCUCGUGGAGCUCUUCCUUUGUAGAAAACCAACGUCUUCCUCAACCCGAUGAUCCGCUUUGGAUCCGAUAACGUCACGAUUUUCCGGUCCGAACCGGUUGCUUUCCAGAACCCUUUUUCAGUUGUGCGGUUAGGCCUUCCUCCACUACCAUGUUUUUUGUCCCUUGGCACAAAGAAAUACCAUUCUCUUUCCCCAACCUUUGACAAACCUAUAUAUAAUUCAAAACACAUUAAAAACUUUCAAUUAUAUAAAAUAUUAUGGUCACUCUCUGACUUAAGGGAUUAGUCUCUGUAAUUACACGUACAUGACCUCUAAAAUUUCAAAAAUAUAUGUGACAAAAAAUAAUAUGAUUCUCAAUUUACCUGGCAAAUCCCAAGGAUCAUGGUGAUAGAUGUUGAGAAAACCAAUGACAUCGUAGCGAAGUUUCUUGCCGACGACCAUGUUUUUAAGGUAGAAAUCAAGGAGUUCUUCUUCUGUAGGGUGAAAUCGGAAUCCAGGAAGUGUAAUUUCUUCAUUACUCAUGUUCAUGUCUUCCAUUGAUGCCAUGUAUAUAUGCUAUGUCUCUAAUGAUUUUUGUUGUGUUUUAGAAGAGGAACACAAAAGUUAGUGUUGGUGCUAUUGCAAACACAUUUGUUGAGUGAACAUGGAAUGGAAUAUAAGAGUGUAUUUAUAAGGAAUGGUUUUUGUUUGGUGAUUCAUAGUGCUUGUGUGAAAUAAUAGGUUUUUUCAUACUUAAAUUAUUAAUUAAUAACUGAGAUUGUGCGAUGACUUGGUCAUAUAAGCUGAUUGUCUGCUGUUGGUACUACUGUAAGUCUAUAGGGGAAGUGGAAAUCCAACGGUUGAGAUUGUGUAGAGGGUGAUGGGGACCAAUAGGGGCUGAAAAGUCUUUCAAAAUUUAUAUUUGAUAUAAUUAGAAAAUGGACUAGUAAUUGAAUUUGAGGAUGUAAACAUUAUGGGAUUUGUGGAUGGGACCCACGCGUCUUGACUAGAGACUAAUUGUUGUGUGGGGUCAAUGGAUGACUCAAGUACAUGUUGAUGUUAUGCUUCCACAUAUUAUUUUUCUUCUUAUUUUGGACUUUUAUCAUGUGAUUCCUCUCAUGGAAUUUCUUGUUGAUCAACAAGUUCUAGGAGGAUUAGCAUGUUAAUUUGUAUAGUGUGAUUGUUAUGGAAAAAUAUUGUAACAAUGAGAAUAUGCAGAUAAAAUAUGUCAUAGCCACGGGACAAUUAUAACUUAAUGGAUAGAGUAGAAAUUCAGUCCUUCAAUUGUUGCUUAGUGAAUAAGAAAAAGAAGAAAAAAAAUGAUGACAUAUUUUAGAUAUAACAUGUAACUAUGAUAACAUGUAACUAUGAUAACUUAACUAACUUUCAAAUCUCAAAACUUCAAUUUGUUAUAAAUUUAAACUACCUUUGUGUUUUAUACAAUAACUAAAACUCAAAUGAACACUAAAUGAAAUUGAAAUACAAAUGUAAACUCAAAUAAAAUGCAACAACCUUGAAUUUGAAUUAUAUUACAACAUCAUCUCUUAAUUCAUAUUCAAAAUUAAAAAUCAAUAACACCAAUUUCAUCCCUCAAACUGAUGACGUGUUCAGUUUUGAUCGACUUGGUCAACACAUCUACAAGUUUCUACUGAGUACUGAAGUGAACAACCUCAAGCACACUAUUAUGAACUUGAUGGCAUAGAAAAUGAUACUUUCACUACUAUUAAUAAUCUCAUUUCACCUCAGACGUGAGGGGAAUAUAACCUCGGUUACACAUGCGAGGUAACGAAGGGUGACAUGAAAACAUGUCACUUUACCCCUCGAUUUUUUAAUAACCAAGGGAAAAAGUGACAUUGGUCAUGUGUUUGAUCCGCAGCAACUGCAUUUUUUAGAUUUUCAAAAUUGCGUUAUUUUUUACCUCAGUUUUUAACAAUAACUUAAGGGUAAAGUUCUGCUUACAAAAUUUUAUUGUAACUUUGUUUUUUUUGUUUUAAUCUGCAAAGCAUCAAAUUUGUUGACAAAUUCUAAAUCUUCUUCAUCAUCAUCAACGAUAACACCAAUAACAACAACAAAAACAAAAUCAAUGGAAUCCUUAAACAUUAAAUCUCAACAACAAAAACAACAACAAAAUCCACGGAAUCUUUAAACAUUAAAUCUCAACAACAACAACAACAACAAUAAUAAAUAAACAAAAUCAAUAGAAUCAUUAAAUACUAAAUUUCAACAACAACAACAAUAUUAAACAUUUUACUUGAUACAACUACAACAAACAUUAAUAAGUUAAUUUCAUGUUUUCCUAACUAACAUUAAACACUUUUAACAAGAAUUACUAGAGAAAAGAUUACGUUAAGAAACUAAUCAUGAAAUAUUUCUCUGCUCUUACUUUCAUUAUCAUUGUUUUCAAUAUGUUAAGUUUAAAUUUCAGCACUUUGCGUCAAAGAUGGAUAGUUGUGACAUUUACAUUUUGAUUGGCUAGUGAGAGUGUCACGUAGAUCACUAAUGUUUCAUAUGGAUUGAUGAUUUGACAAUGUUUUGACCAUUGUUACUUUAAAAAUGGAUGGCAAAGAUUCGCUACUUUACCCCUCGGUUUUCAGCAAAACCGAGAUAAUAUGUCAUAAUUUUUAUUUUAAAAAAUUAAAGGUGAUUAAAUGUAGUUGUUGGGAUUCGAAAACGUGUCCUCUAAAUACUUUGCCUCUCGGUUUUUAGCAAAACAGAGGUAAUAUGUCAUAAAAAAAUUUUAAAAAAAUUAAAAGAUGGUAAAAUAUAGUUGCUAGGAUUCGAAGACGUGUCUUCUAAAUACUUUAUCCUACAGUUUUCUAUAAAAUCGAAGUAAUAUGUCAUAAAAAAUGUGCUAAAAUGUAGUUGUUGAGAUUCGAAUGUGUGUCCUUUAAAUACUUUACCCCUCAUUUUCCAGCUAAAUCGAGGGAAUAUAUGGUAUUUUAAAAAUAUAUAAAUUAAAAUGUGACGCGUAUAUGGUUUACACCUCGGUUUUUUGUUCGGUGAGGUGAAAGUUUCAUUAUAAAAUGUAUUAUUUAUAGUAGUAUUUGUACCAAUAUGAUUACUUCUUUCAUACAACACUGGAUUCUUGGUAAAACUUAUGGCUGACUUAUUGUCUAUCAUCAACCUGGCCAGUUUUCUAUCCUUGAACUUCAGUUCCUGCAGCAAAUUCAUCAGCCAAACAGCUUGACAAGCUGAUCAAGCACAAGUUGACAGCGCAACCACUAGUUACUUCUUGGAGCACCAUGAAAUGGGAGCUCCUAGAUAUAUAUACAUGUAUCAUGUAGUGCUUCUUUUGUCCACUAUAUCCCCACACCAACCAUAGUCUUAAUAGCAUAUCAGCUCAACAUCAUUUGACACUUCAGAUGGAAACAAAAUCACAUGCCUCAUAGUCCUUUUUACAUACCUCAGAAUCCUGACUGCAACUUGGUAAUGUGACCACUUUGGUUUACUCAUAAACCUACUUACUAUUUCAAAUGCAUAACAUAUGUCAGGUCUGGUGUUACACAAGUAUCUCAUAGAGCCAACCAACUGUUUGAAGGUUGUAGCAUCUACAUCCUCACCAUCAACAUCAAAAUCCAACUUAUGAUUUGUCUCAGCAAGUGAGACUGCUUACUUACAAUUCAUCAUCUCAAAUCUCUUCAGCAGCUCAAGUUCAUACUUCAGUUGGUGCACAAUGAUUCCCCUAUCAUAGUGUAUAAUCUCCAUCCCUAGAAAAUAAGCCAUGUUUCCAAGGUCAGACAUAUCAAAUGUAUUCAUCAACACCUUUUUGAACUUGUUUAUCUCAGAAGUACAAUUCACUAUCAAAAGUAUGUCAUCCACGUAAAGACACACCAUAAUCAUAUUGCCAUUAGAAGUAUGUUGCAUACAUACACCAUAUUACAUUUCACAUUUCUUAAAUCCUAGAUUCUUGAAGAAUGAAUCAAUUUUCAUAUUCCAAGCCCUUAGAGCUUGUUUCAGCCCAUACAAGGCUUUAUGCAUCUUGUACAUUAUCCCUUGUUUAUUCUCUAUAAAAAAUCUAGGAGGUUGUAACACAUAAACUUCUUCUUGCAAUGGACCAUUCAAAAAAGCUAACUUUACAUCUAAAUGUAUCAGAGGCAAAUUCCUAUUUGCAGUUAUAACAAUAACCAAUCUUAUGGUUUCAUGUCUAAAUACAAGUGAAAACACUUCAAAGUAGUCUAAAGCAUGUUUUUUUAGGAAUCCUCUAGCUACUAACCUUGCUCUAUGCUUGUCAAUUGAACCAUUUGACUUUAGCUUUAUCUUGAAAACCCAUCUCACACUGAUGGUUUUCUUGUUCUAAAGUAGAAAUGUUAAUUCCCAUGUCUUGUUUCUUUUGAUUUCCUCAAGUUCUUCCUUCAUGGCGUUCACCAACACCUUCUUCUUGAGACCCUCAUUAACGUUGACAGGUUCAGAGUCCACCAUCAUGGCACUUUGUAUGACUUCCAGAGUCAACCUCAGUAUCAUGCAAUAACUCAAAGUUUGCAAGUGCCUUUGGCAUCUGUCUAAUUCUUUAUGGCCUUUAGAGUUGAGAAAGUUCACCUUUAGAGGCAGGACCACAUUCAUAAGCUCUACCUUAAGAAGCUCCACCUUUAGAGGAAGGAUCACCUUUAGAAGAUUAAUCACCUUUAUAGUCAGGUCCAGUGUCAGAGUUAGUCUCACCUUCAAAGCCAGACUCACCUUAAGAGUCAAAGUCAUCUUUAGAGCCAGACUCACCUUCGGAGUCAGAGUCGUCUUCAUAUCCAGACUAACCUUUGGAGUCAGAGUCAUCUUCAGAGCUAAACUCAUAUUCUGAGUCAGACUCCCUUCAGAGGUAUAAUCUUCUUCAAAGGCAGAAUCUCCUUCAAAGGAAGAAUCAGACUCUAAUGUUAACAUUGUAAUAUAGUUGGAUUUAGACUUGUUUCAAUCCCAUGUUUUUGAUUCUUUCACUAUGACAUCUCUGUUGACUUCAACUUUAAUGGUGAUUGGGCAAUAUAGCUUAUAAGCACAUGUACAGUGGUAACCUAUAAGUAACAUGACUCUGCUUUUGUCACCAAUUUUCUUAUAGUAGCAUCUGGUAUAUGUUUGUAAUAUACAAAAUCAAACACCUUGAAAUGGAUAACAUUUUUCUUUAACUUCUUUGUUGGACAUCUGUUGAGCACAUAUGCUGAUGUGGUAAUUUCUUCACCCCAUAUGUGUGAGGUAGAUUCUUCUCCUUCAGCAUGUUUCUUGUCAUGUUAAGAAGAGUUCUAUUUCUCCUUUAAUCAAGGCCAUUAUUAUGUAGAGUUUAUGGAGUAGUCGCCUUAUGCUCAAUACAAUGUUCCUUAUAGAACUUCUUGAACUCUGUUGAAUUGAAAUCACCUACACCAUAAGUUUUGAGGAUCUUCAAUCUUUGUCCACUUUGGUUUUCAGCCUUCACUUUGAACUUCUUGAACUCAGAAAACACCUCAUGUUUGAACUUUAUGAGUUCUACCCAUGUCAUUCUUGUUAACCCAUCCACAAAUGACACAAAGUACUUGUUUUCUCCAAAUGAAGGUACCUCAAAUGGAUCAUAUACAUCAAAAUAUAUCACACCCAAAGCAUAAGUGCUCUUGGAGGCAUUUAUGAUUAGAAUGGCAAUAUUGGUUGCUUGCCUCUCUUUCAUAUAUCUCAUAAUUUCUCUGAUGCCACAAUCUUUGAAAUUCAAAUGUCUCAAUCUCUUAUGCCAUAACUUACUUUCCCAUUCAACACUUCUAGCACUAAGGAAUUGAGUGUCUGAUGUUGCAACAUUCACCUUGAAUGUCAUGUUUUUUCCCAGUUUAGACAGCAUAAUCAGCUUCUGACUACAUUCAUACAACUUUAAGAGAUUGACCUUCAUGGUUAUUAAAAAAUAUUUUUCAAGCAGCUGCCUACACUCAUCAGAUUGUUAUUCAUGCCAGGAACAUACCAUACAUCCUUAAUCAGUAUAGUUUUUCCAUUAUUCAAUUUCACUCUGACAUUUCUCAUUCCUUCAGCAUUCAGAUACUCAUCAUCCGCACAUCUAAUCUUGGUCUUUCUACCAGAGUCAAAAUCAACCAGUCAUUGCUUGUUUCCAGUUAGGUUAUUUUAGUAGUCAAUGUCCAUAUACCACCAGUCUACCAUUGCUCCACCUACAUUCUCAGAUCCAUCAGUAGCACAGGUUCAUCAUCAUAAUCUCCUUUGGCUAUGUUGGAUUCUUCACCCUUGCUAACCUUGUUUGACCAACAAUCAACAACAAAAUGGCCAAACUUGUUGCAACUAUAGCACUGAACCUUUAUCUUAUCAAAUUUCUUCUUUCCCUUAUGAACAUUCUUAUGUUUCUUCUCACCUGAAUUGGAGAGUUAUGACUUCUGAGCACCACCGCCAUAACUUUUCUUGUGCAAAUCACUCAGUUCUCACCAACACUCGUGUUUCCCAAACUCUGAGAACCAAGAUUUGUGAUUCUCUUCAAUUUCGAUAUUUAGUUCUACGCGAGUUUGAGGAACAAAAUCAAUAAAACACCUCAUGUACACUUGUGUUUCCUGUGAAUCGGAAUCGGAGCUUUGGAUACCAAUUUUUGGAGUAAACACUAAACUCCUCUAACAAUUCACAAGAGGAAGAAGAUGAUGAAUAAUUGCAGAGAGAGAGAGAGAGAGAGAGAGAGAGAGAGAGAAUUGUGUAGCUAACUUUCAAAUCUCAAAUAUUCAAUAUGUUACAAAUUGUAACUAACUUUGGGUUUUAUACAAUAAUCAAACUCAAAUGCAACUGAAAUACAAAUGCAGACUCAAACGAAAUGCAACAACCUUGAAUUUGAAUUACAUUACAACACUUUUUUUCUAAUUAGCAACGGAAAAACUAUGAAAUUGAUUUCAAAAUCCGUUGUUAAUUGGAAGAAAAGUACUAACAUGAUAGGUUUUGAGGCGUUAAAGAAUCAAUAUGACCUUUUUAAGUAAAGGUAUGAAAAUGAACAUCGACGUUAACAUACGAGAUCGAAAAGGAUAUUAAACCAAAAUAAUAUCAUUGUUUUUCAAACUAUUUUGAUGUCGAGUCCCCUACAUUGUGUCUACUGAUUUGUAAUAGAUUGGAAUUUUUCAAAUUGUGUCUUUCAGAGGAAGAUUAAUCCUUAGUGAAAUAAACUAUAUUUGAUUUCAAAAAAAGUGACAGUUAUUGCGUUGUGAGUGAUAAGUUGCAUUUUUAUCGUUUUAAAGGGUUUAAUUUUAUAGUUUUAUCUAAUUUUUUUCUUUAUUCUAUUUUACUUUUGUUUUCUUGUUUUCUUUGUGUUUCAGGAGUUUUAAAGUUGACAAGUCAUGAUAAAAUGGAUAGAAUAUGAACAUGAAAAGAUACAAGAAGAUGCCUAAAGAUUGGACAAUUACGAAAAUAAAUCUGCAAAAAAAUGGCAUUACGGCAUGAUCAUAAUUUCCAUUACGACCAUAAUGGCCUUAUAAGAAACUUCCCAUUUUUGAAAUUUUAGCAUCAAGAAGUCGAGGGGAUUAUGGUCUUGCUGUAAUGGCGAUUACGAGGAUAAUGACCUCAAGGACCUUUGGAUUUUCUGCAAUUUUCUAUUUUGUUUGUGGUCCUUCCACUUCCUGGACUCUUACACUCUAAUUUUAAGCCUCUCUAAUUGGGAAUAUGACUAUUUUAAUAGAUUUAGGGCUAUAAAAACACCUUGUAACCUCAAAUUACAUCCUCUCUCAAUUCUAAUUAUCUUCAAACUUUAAUCUACUUCACUUUUAUAGUUUCCUGCAUUUUUAUGUUCUUGCAAGAGUCUCCAUUGGAUCAAGUACUCAGUUGUAUUCCAAUUUAUAAUUCAUGUUUUAUUUUCCUUAUUUUUUUGUAUUAUUCAUCUGUUGUUACUUUAUAUUAUGAUUAUGUUUAUGUUUAAGGUUACAUUCGUGUUUAUCUUUAAUAUGUGUGAGUAACCCGUUUUAGAUUUAGGACCAUGAGGAUUGUCUAAAUGGAACACCUCGUGAAGGCUCUCAAUUCAAUAUCUUUUGAUCAUAAAGUGUGUGCUUUCUCUGUUAUUUAGGAAUUAUGGUAUGUAUCUCAACAAAAGUGGAUAUAAUCUUAGACAUCUCGUAGCUUAAGCUAUGAUCCGCAUAGUGAGAAGGUAUCAAAUUAUAGUUUAUUCUGAAAAUAAGCAAUAGAAAUAAAUUAACUUAAAAAACAUAUUAAAAUCAAUGAAAAUAACCUGAGAAGUUAUAGAAUUAUAUUUCACAAAGUAAAAUAUGGUGUAUUAAAAUACACUGAUCAAAUUUCACCACACUUGAGCUUUUGUACUUUGAGCAAAACUCUAACUUCAAAAUUCAAAAUAGAUAAAAAUGGGAAAUAGAACAAAAAUAGAACAUGCAAUUUCAAAGACUUUCAAGAUCACAUAAGGGUAAACAAAAUUCUCAUUCUAAGUUUCAAUCAAUAUGGCAUUAGUGAGUAACUUCUUGGGACAACCAAUGCAAAUAAGAGGACAAUUUAUCAAAGAAUACAUCAUAAGUGCUAGGAUCCUCACAGGAUAUAAAUAUUCUCUCACUCUCUAGGGUUUAGGUUAUUUGGUUACACUCAAAUUACAUCAUAAAAGUUACCACUACCAUAAGACUAAAAUGACUCUAACAUCGACAUUUAAAGUACAUGCACACAAAGAUCAAAAGAACUUUAUUCGAGUUGUAAUGUGGCCAAGGUAAGGGUGAGAUAAAUCCUAAAGAGGUACUAGGCUAAAAUUUAAAGGGACAUAAGAGAAUUGAAAAGAACUAUGGAAGUUGAACUAAUUAUCAUUUUAUUCACUUUCAAACAAUUUCUUUGCAAUCAUUUUCUCUUCUCUCUUUUUUUGCCAACUUUUAAAAUAUCACAAAUAUACUAAUUCAACCCCACACAACUCCAAAAAAGACUUUUUCUUCCCCUUAAAUAGGGUCAUAACAUUGUUUUUUAUUUUUAGGUUUGUAAUGAGUUAUAAAGAAAAAAUGGGAUAAAUAGGCUCAAAGAGGCUUCAAACAAGGGAUGAUAAUUUCAGGUUCAUUUUUUUUGGCUAAGUGACUAAAAAUAAAAGAAAAACGAAAUGUCUUUAUCAUAUCAGUGUGCACAAGUAAACAAAAAGUUUUAACAAGAUUCAAGUCAAGUUCUAGAGUAACUAACAAACAUAAGUGAAAUCACACAAUAAAGAAAAAGAAAUGGAAUUUGGUAUGUCAUCCAUUAUAAGACUCAAAUUCUCGCCAAGGGUAAUGAUCUACCACAAAUGAUGCAUAAUUUAGAAUUUAAUGUAUUUUAUCAUACUUAGAUUGCAAAGAAAUUCACUCAUAUCACACCACAGAUCUUUAGUCAAAAGAAUGGAGAAAUUAGUUACAUAACACAAUCCCAAAAAGCAACAAAAAAGCAUGCAUUUUUUAUUUAUUAUUAUUUUAAAUUUUUUAUUUUAAAACGAGAAAACAAAAUAACAAAAAUAAAUGACAUCCCUCCCCCACACUUAAACACACAUUGUCCUCAAUGAAAAAGAAUAAGCAUAAAAUAAGAGAGAGGAGAGAGAGAGAGAGAGAGAGGAAUAACACACCCGAAUAAUCAAGGCGGAUACAUAAUUGCAUAAGUAGAAUUUUUUAAUGAGAGCUCUUAUAUAGUUUCCUCUUCCAAUAUGGGGCUCUCAUGGAAUAGCUUAAAGACGUGUCUAUUGACUUUGAAAAUUUUAUCAGUACCUUCACUUUUUAUUCCUAGAUCAAAGAAUAUUCUUCUAUAGGUAAAUGUGUUGAAUGAACGAGUGAAAAUGGUAUUCUCUUUGUCUUCUGGUGCAAUAUAUAUCUUAUUUUUCCCAACAUCCAAAAUCAAGGGGUUAAGCCGUCUUUGGGGUUGCCUCACUACUUUUUCUCUAUCUUCAAGUAAGAUUCUAUGCAUACUCAUGGACGAGCUAAUACAAGAAAUGUCAGCCAAUGUUCAUCCAAUUACAUUCUUAUAUUUCUUUAAUACCUGUAACAACCUUUGUUCAUGUUCAAAUUCAAAUUUAGAUGAAAUUAUUACAAUAAACUUUUCUUCCAUUCUUAAAAUGAAUAUUUUAUAUUUCUAGGGAGUGACUUAAACUCUAAAGCAUAUGGUUGCUCAAUGAAUGGUAAAAUCUUGGCAGCAGGAACUACAUUUAUAUCUGCAACAUCAACUUUGUCAGUAGAAAUCUCAUAAGAAAUAUCAAUCUGUAAAUCAACUUCAAUUUCAUCAUAAACUAAACAUAUAUAAGUAUCAGUACAAAUAUCACAAGUAUAAGUGUCAUCAAAAUUAGACAAAGAAGGAAAAUUAGCAAAAAGUGAAUAAGAUGCAACGAGUUCUCUUAAGGUUCUAUUUUGAUCAACCAUUAUAUGAUUAUCAAAUUCAAAAUCAGAAUCAAAUAAAUACAUAAUCAAAUAAAAUCACUAUCAAAUAUGACUACUAAAACCACUACUAAAAUCAAAAUCAAAUCAACACAAAGUCAAAUAAAAUCAUUAUCAAUGAAUAAUAAAAUCUAAUGAAAAUAUUAUUAAAAUAAAAUCUUAAAUAUAUGAAAAUAUGACUAAAAAUAAAAUCAAAUAAAAAAUGAAUCUGUAAAAAAAGUUUGGAUUUUUAAAAAAAUAUGAAAAUAGAAAAAAAUUCAAAUAAAAUAGAAAAAUGAGGAAUUUGCGAAUUUUAGGGUAAAAAUCCCUUAGAAGUCUCUUCAAAGUGAGUAAUGUUUGUUAAUAUUUUUCUUCUGAUUUUUUUUUUUUUUGGGGGGGGGGGGGGGGGGGGGGGGGGGGCGGGGGGGGGGGGGGGGGGGGGGGGGGGGGGGGGGGGGGGGGGGGGGGGGGGGGAAUCGGAGUAAUUUGAAACAACAACUUAUAGAUUCACCUAAUAGGCUGAGAUACAUACAACUAACUGCAACCCUAAAAAUCAACACAAAAAAAAAUUGCUAACAAUACUAUAAACUAUGAUUCUAAAAUUGGCUAAAAUCAACAGAGAAUCCCCGACAACAACACCAAUUUGAUUUGUUGUCUCACUUACAGGUAAAAAAAUGAGUAAAUGAAUUGUAGUAUAAGAAAGCGACACUCGAUUCGUAUCGUAAAGACUCUAAGUUAAUUUAAACAAAGGAAAGAAACGAAAGAGGGGUUUUAGGUUUUCGGGCAAUUGAAAAUGAAGAAAACGAUUACAAUUUUGAUCAAUAGAUUAAUCUACUGGUUCGGUAAUUUCAGACUUAUCAUUGAUUAUUUUACCACCAAUUCCCUAAGUGGAUUUAAUUCCUAUUUGAUUAUAGUAUUGAUUAACAAGCGUGCUCAACACUAUGUGAGUUAUAUUCCUAUUUGCCACAUUAAGCAUGACUGUUGAAGAUCAUGUGAAGUUAAUGAAUAAACUAAGUUAACACGUGAAGUUAAGGAACAUGCAUCGAUCAAAUUUAAUCAACAUUAUUAUAUGCAACUCAAAUUAAGCAAACAAGAAUACACAAAACAGAAUUGAAAGAAACUAAAUAAAAAUUGAUAAUAUAAUAACCUCAAAGUCUUGAUGAAAUUCCAAAAUAGUAGAUUAACCUUGGAGCUUAGUCGUCCAUGUAAUCCUAGUGCUCUUCUUUAUUUCCUAAGAAUUGUAGAACUUCCCAUAAUGAUGAGUUUAUCUUAAAUAAUAAAGAAAAAUGGGUUGACCCGUCCUUUUUGGUUACUCUCAUUCAUCCCCUGGCUGAUGAGACCAUUUGUGGGGCCAAGUCGUGAGUGGAAGGUAAGUGAAAACCUAUGUUUCCUCAUUGUUGGUCGGAGAAUAAUUUUCUCUAGGAGAAGGACACCUAUGUUUAUGGAGAAGGAUAUUUUUCUGAUAACAUUUCUUUUGAAAAGAAGAAAUUGUUGGACUUUGUUAACCGCUAUGGUUAUCUCGAAGGUGUAGUUCCCUCGGCUGAAGUCGAUAAAAUAUGUUUGAAGCAUAUGAUAGAUGUCUCCUUGUUGAUAGGGGCUUUCUGCCGUAAGGAUCAUCGAGUUUCCUUUGGUAAGUUUGAAAUUUCCUUUAUCCCUCUGUUGUUAGUUUACCCUUCUUUGGGUGCGUAUGGAUAACAAUCGUGUUUCUGUGCAUAUGUAAUUGAGGAUAAGGUGAGGGUUUGUGUCCUGAAGCCGAGAAUACAUCCACCUGAUGUGGUGGUUGUCUCUUUUCUCUCUUCAUACCCACCUCAUAGUGUUGCUCUUUUGCAUGCCCGUCCUAAUUCGUAAAUGGAUCCGUGAAUUCACAUUGGUCUUUCUCUUCAUCGUAAGUAUUAGGUCUUUGAUGAUGAUUGGCCAUUUUUUUCCAAUAUAUCUAGAAAGGCUCUAAGGGAAGAGUUGAACAGUUUGGCUUGGUCUACUAAGUGGGAUUUUAUUACUCUCACUCUUGGUGGAUCCGAGAGCUAGGAAUCCCUUUGGGCGAACCAGGCAUGUGAUAAAAAGUUCAGGUUGGAAAGGAGCGUUAACAACUUGUCUUUCCAACAAGACAUGUAUUUAAGAGAGCUUUAGAAAGUUUUUGCUUCCUUGCAAAAGGUAAACAAAGUUCUGGCUCCAUUCAAUCUCCCUAGUAUUUCGGGUAGUAGGGUGAUGCACCUGGAGAGAGUGAUGUAGAGGAAUAUCGAGGAUCUUGAUUCUUCCUAGAGGGAGUUGGAUUUCCUACGCAGUCAUAAUGUUUUUCUAACCCGAAAACUGAAAGAAUAUGCUUAUGCGAGCCUUGGGCGGCUACAAAGUCUUUCGAUAAUGCGAUGGACAGGUGGAGCAUUUUCACCACCCAUUCGUUAUCUCAAGGGAGAAGAUUUGACUGAGUCAGAUACUUCAAGAUGAGAGGGUCAUCUCUAUUAUUGAGUAGCCUCCUGACUUUUUUUAGCCCUUUUUCCUAGUUAUGGGCAUCGACUUGUAAACAAUGUUCAAUUAUAUUAUCACCAUUCGCAUGUUUAUGCUUUUGAUUUUGUCUCAUGCUCUUUUUAGUUGUAGUCUUCAACCGACUGAGAAUCAAGGAUCGUUAGGGUUCAAUUUUAAACCCUGUAGUUUAUAGAGUUUGUUUUCUACAAAAAUUGGUAAAUAAUAUCUGCAAGGCCAUGUUUGGUCGAUUUAUUCAUGAGCAUGUUGCGCCAUGAUGUAACUGGUUGGAUGUGGCCAUAGUUAGAACAUUGGCCUAGAUCAAUGUGAUCGAUUUUUAAAAUGUGUUUACAUUAUGGGACGACCAAUAGAGUUAGACACGACUGUUCUUUGGAUCCGUACUCGUGUCGCACGACCUUGGUUGAGUGUGUUUAUUCUUUGAAUCACACUUGUAAUAAUUUUGCAUCGAUCCAGCUAGACGCGACUAUGAUUUGAAUCAUAUUCAUAAGAAUAAGGCAUGAUUGUGGUUAAGAUUUGAAUCAUACUUACACGUGAGGGACAUGAAGCCGGCUAGAUGCGACCAUGCUUCUGAACUCCGCUCUAUGUCGUGGAGGAUCAUUCUCUGGCCGAGUGUAGAGGAUCCUCGUCCCUCUUUCAGAGGUAAAAGCUCAAAUUGACAUGGACGUCACCAGGCUCCACCACUCAUGUCCCUUGGAUUGGAUAGAUCCAAAGGAGGGUGUGAUAGCUACACAUAAAUGUCUGUAAUUCUUGCGUCGGCGGCCAAGGUUGGGUUGUUCAAGUGAGUAUUCAUAUUUUCUUCCAAUGUCAUGUAUGGUUGGGCUAGGUUUAACAUCUCCUGAGUUUCUUUUACCUUAUUCUUUCCCAACUUGGUAAGGAAAGUAUGGUUGCAUAAGAGGCCAUCCUCGAAGAUCCAGCAUUUGAGGGCUUCUUAGGCCCCUUUUACCUUUUAUGUAACCUGAGUAAAUCGAUCAAUGUAUGACCAUAUGAUCUCAUUCUCUCCUAGCAUGAUGCUACUCAAGGCUGCUACAAUAAUAAGUUGCCUCUUUCGGGCGGUGAAGUGGGUGGUGAGGCGAUCGCAAAAAUUUGCCCAUGACACGAUAAAACUGUCGAGAAUACCAUUGAACCACAAUCUAGCUAGUGCGACCAAGGUUAAUGCUAGAAGCUUUCACUUGGAAGCAUCACCAGCAAUGUAGUAAUUGAGUCGGCCAUUAAUGGGUUGGACGUGUUUGUCGAAUAUUUGGGCACAUAAGGGAUGCUUAGGAUUCACCUUGUUCAGCUAGUGUUCACCACGAUCUGGGGAUGAAGCUUGACUUCCUUGGUCUAUGCUCGGGCUAUAGGAAGGAGAACAAGGUUUUUUUUCUUUCGAAUGGUCUUUCAACUUCUGAUCUUUGCCUCUCUUUGUUGCAAACGGUUCUGGGUGAAACUAUUUCUCCUAGAUACAACCUUCUGAGUUGAGUUUUCAUGGGGUUGAGUAUGGUGAAGGCUUUCUUCCAAGUGAAAUAAUAUUUCAUUUAUCGCCUUGUAGUUUUGCUAUUGAACAAUGUUGUAGAUACCUUUGAGAAAAUCGUUCACGCCUUGAGUUUCUAGGUUCUCUUUGAGGAUGCCAAAACCAUGUGGUAGCUCCGGUCGUUCAAUAGGAAGAGAAGUUGGAACUCUAAAUGGGGGAGCUUGGCAUUCCCCGUUCUUAGAGGAAGAAGGAUUAGAUUUGGCUGUGUAGGAACGUCGAUAUCGAAGUUCACUUUUCCAGGAAGAGGAGUGUUGUUUGGCCUAUUGACCGUCGUCGAUGCUACAACAGAAUCAACCAUAACAAAUUUGCGUACGGUGGAAGAACAAGUAGCUCUAGAUCCAACCAUUUCCACAACUCAAAGAAGUCAGAGAUAUGGAGGAUUGAAGAUCCAGAAAAUUGAUAAACUACAAUAGGUGUAGACACUAAUACAAAAAGUAUAGACAAAAACGCCCACGUUCCCAUGGUCCUUUAAAGGACGUGGUGAUAUCUCUAAAUUCAUGCACCAUUAUUUUUUUUUAUAUUUUUUAAUUAAAAGUUGUUAACAUACUGCCAUAGCUGAUUAGAUUAAUCGUGGUGAUAUAUUUAACCUUUCAUGGGUUCGCAUCUCAGCGCCAUCAAAUUCGUGAUAUAUUUAGUAUCUUAGUUGCAUCUUUCAUUUUUAUUUAUUUUAAAAUAAAAAAUAAAAGUGAUAUCACUACGGUUGUUUAAUCAAACUGUUGUGAUAUAUUUUAAAUUUUUUAAAAAUGUUUAAAUGCUUAAAACCUAACACUUUUUUUUUUAUAAAAUUUCAUUAAGUAAACCAUAUAUCACCAUGGUUGGUUUAGAUGACCGUGGUGUAAUUAUUUAUUCACUUAACGAAACACAACUAGAAUGUCUCUUCAGUAGACAUUUUUUCAUUUCCAUUUGCAAAAUCAUUUUCAACCUUAACAUUCAACGUUGAGAAACCAUUUUCACUCAAAAGCAUAUCCAUCGUUCAUUAACGAAACCCAAGCCUUUUCCACCAAUUUCGUUUUCAUCUUCAUAGUUCAACCAACUGCAUUCAUCGUUCAUUAACGAAACCUAACCCUUUUCAACCAACGUCAUCUUCAUCUUCAUUGGUUUAGAUGACCGUGGUGUAAUUAUUUAUUCACUUAAACGAAACACAACUAGAAUGUCUCCUCAGUAGACAUUUUUUCAUUUCCGUUUGCAAAAUCAUUUUCAACUUUAACAUUCAGCAUUGAGAAACCAUUUUCACUCAAAAGCAUAUUCAUCGUUCAUUAAUGAAACCCAAGCCUUUUCCACCAGUGUCGUUUUUGUCUUCAUAGUUCAACCAACUGCAUUCAUCGUUAAUUAACGAAACCUAACCAUUUUCAACCAACGUCAUCUUCAUCUUCAGUGUUAAACAAACUUCAUCUUCAUCAUUCUUAGCUUAUGUAGCGUCGAGGCGGAAGACGAAUACUCUGAAAAACUUUAUUUAGGUCUUUUAUUUAUUCAUCAUGUUUUCAGUAUGUACACGUUUUCCCCAUGCAUCUACAGUAAGAUUCAUUUGCCAUUGUGUUUAUGUUUAUGUUGUUGAUGUUGAAAUAGUAUACAUGCUUGUGUGUUUUACCUUAUGACAAUAUGCAUAGACUUUAUGAGUAGUAUUUCUAUAUAUGUUGUUCUAUAAUGAUAUGUAAUCGUAAAUAUAGGCACUGCUACUGGUGUUGUUGUUUAUGUAGUUCUUAGUGUUGUUGUUUAUGUUGUUUAUGCCAUUGUGGUUGGUGUUUAUGUUCUUGUCUUGAUGUUGAAUGUUUUAUGUCUUGAUAGAUGUCUCAUUCUUCAUCUAGUAGUGAAAAAAUACUUAUACAAAUGAGUCUCAAUCUAUAGACGGGAAAUAGAAAAACAAAACAAAGAGGUGUCACAAUGAUAUCUAAUUUAACAAAAGUCCACAAUUCGGUGACUAACUUUCGUUCGAGUUUAGCGUCGUAUAUACGAUACUUGAUGGUCCUUACUCUUUGGUUUUUAAUAUUUAUGUUGCGUUCCUUUUAUGUAGAAAAGUCAGUAUAUUGAUAAAUGAUCGGAAAGAUGUACCAGCAGAGGUGAAAGAGAGCAUAUCGACAGAUGUUAAGGUAUUAAUUUUAAUUUUUCAUUAUUUUAAUAUUACUUUAUAUAAUUACUAAUACAUACUUAUUGAUGUAACUGUGAAGUUAACGUUUGAGUUUUAUGAUGAUUCUAAGUUGGAAAAAAAAGUGGAUCACUUAUAGAGGUACGCGUUGGAGGGGCUUUAAUUCAUGACUCACACGUGACUACAUUAGGGAUCCUAAGCCUAAUCAUGAGCUCAUGUGGGUGAGAUAUAAUUUUCUUGACAAGAAGGUUUGGAAAAAGUUUGUGAAUUUUCGUAGUUCUUAGAAGUUCCUAGUUAGUAUUAAUUCUAUUUUCUGAUAAUUUUAUGCUUAUGCUUUAUAGAUACAACCAUGGAAGUUAUUAUUUUUCCUAUGUUUAAAACAUGUUAAAGUGAAGCAUGAAAUUUUAACAAGGCAAAAAAUAAAUACCCCAGGGUUUGUCUCGUGGGGGAUACAUGAAACUUGAGAAAACAAUGAUUGAUAAAAAAAGGAAAUAACUAGGACAUGAGGACUCCAUGUGUGUGUGUGUGUGUGUUUGUGUGUGUGUGUGUGUGUGUGUUUGUGUGUGUGUGUGUGUGUGGUGUGUGUUGUUGUUGUGUGUGUUUGUGUGUGUGUGGUGUGUUUGGUGUGUGUGUGUGUUGUGUGUGUUUGUGUGUGUGUUUGUGUGUUGUGUGUGUGUUUGUGUUGUGUUUGUGUGUGUGUGUUUGUGUGUGUGUGUGUGUGUGUGUGUGUGUGUGUGUGUUGUUUUGUGUUUGUGUGUGUUUUGUGUGUGUGUGUUUGCUGUGUUGUGUGUAUGUGUGUGUUUGUGUGUUAUGUUAUGUGUGUGUGUGUGUGUGUGUGUGUUGUGGUGUGUGUGUGUGUGUGUGGAGUGUGUGUGUUGUGUGUGUGUUUGUGUGUGUGUUUGUGUGUGUGUGUGUGUUUGUGUGUUUGUAUGUGUGUUUGUUUGUGUGUUUGUGUGGUGUGUGUGUGUGUGUGUUGUGUGUGUGUGUGUGUGUGAGGAGAGAGAGAGAGAGAGAGAGACAGAGAAAAAGUGAGGAAAAGAGAAGAAGAGAGAGAGAGAGAGAGAGAGAGACGAGAGAUUAUGUAUUCAUGAAUGUUUAAAAUUUGUAGACGAGAAGACAACAGAGGGAUACGAGUGUGGUGUAUAUGUAAUGAAACACAUGUUAAAUAUUGAUUCUGCUGGCAUUGUUGAUUCUCGAGAUCAGAUAUAUUUAUAUCAUUAAUAUUUAUAAUAUAUAAAUAUUAAGUUAAGUUGCUGUAUAUUUCAAAUCAUGUGAAUAGUUCAUAUUUUCUUCACUUUGUUUAUGUAGAUGUUUAACGUUGUGACAUCUUUCUCUGCCCAGUGACUUAAAGACAUCGUAGACGUUGGACAUUUAUUUUCAAUGCGCUAAUUGAAAAGGGUGCUAAUGUAUGACUUUUUCUUUGAUGUUUGUAAUAUAUGAUUUUAGCUUAAUUUGAUAUUUUAAUAAUAUGAAAUGGUGUAUACCAUAUAUAUUUAUAAAAUAAUUUUUUAACAUUGAUAUAAAAAAUAUUUAAUUAUAUAUAUAUAUAUAUAUAUAUAUAUAUAUAUAUAUAUAUAUAUAUAUACAUAUAUAUAUAUAUAUAUAUAUAUAUAUAUAUAUAUAUAUAUAUAGUAUAUAUAUAUAUAUAUAUAUAUAUAUAUAUAUAUAUAUAUUAUAUAUAUAUAUAUAUUAUAAUUUAUAGUAAUAUAUAUUAUAUAUUAUUAUAAUAUAUUAAUUAAUAUAUAUAUAUCAUAUAUUAUAUUAUAUAUUUAUAUAUAUAUAUAUAUAUAUAUAUAUUAAAAAAAAACAGGAGAUUGGACUCAUUGAAUAGCACUAUCAUCUUCCUCAUUUUAAACACUAUCAUAUUCUUCUUUUUAUAACUUUUUAAGUCCUCUCCCUUUCUUUUUGUCUCUCACAUUCUAGGUUAUGAACAUAGAUAGCUAUAACUAAAUAUAAUCUAAAAAACAUAUGAACAUAACCUAGAAUGUGAGAGAUAAAGAGAAAGAGAGAUGACUUAAAAUGUUAUGAAAAUAAGAAUAUGAUGGUGUUUCAAAUGAGAAAGAUGAUAGUGCUCCUCAAUGAGUCUAAUCUUCUCUAACAUGUGUCCUCAAUCGCUACAAUGCCUUUUAUAAGUUCAUAUUUUUGAAAUGAAGAUAUGAGGUAAGUGAAAUAUUUAGUGAAGAAAAUCAACAACAAUUUUAUAAAAAAAGUUUUUUUCUCCUGCACAUGAUAUCUUAAGAAAAUCACAUAUAAAAAUCACAAUAUUUUUUUUAUAAAAAAUGUUGUUGGAUUUCACGUGUUAUCCUAAAAAUAAUCAUGUACAAAAAAAUUAUUUUUUUUAUAAAAAAUAUUCUCGUUUUUAAAGAAAAACGUUAUUAAAAUAAUAAAAAUAAAUAAUUUAUUUUUAAAAGGAUUUAUAACGCUUUUUAUGUAAAGUGCUAUAAUUCCUAUAAAUAUUUUUAAAACUUUUUUACUAUUCAAAACCAACAACAUUUUUUUAAAAAAAUGUUAUUGAUUCCCCUUUUUUUUUUACAACAAUUUCACAUAAAAGUAUUGUUAAAGCCUAAAUUUAGAGUAGUAUUUCUUUGGUGUAAUUGUUUGAAGAAAAAUGAUAGUAACAUUUGAGAUCUAGUCAUUAGUAAAUUUUUCUGUUAACUUUCAAGUUCGAUAAAAGUAUCUAAUAAAUAUAUCUAUUAGGAAUUUAUCUAAUGUGCAUAAAUAAUAUAGUCUUACACCAUGCAUAAGUUUGCGCUUUAUACCAAUUUUUCAUUAAAUCUCAUCGUAUCUUAUUUGAACAAAUUAUAGAAAUUAACUUGUACAUAGACUUACACUAUUACCAAAAAAAGGUUUUACGAAGAUUGUCAUGGAAGGUGCACAAUUUUUCACCUCAAGCUACUAACCGAAGUAAAAAAUCUGAAAACAAUCUCUUGAAGCUUAGAAUUAUUAGGAGGCAUCACAUCACCUUGGCAAGAGGAUGUUUUGUGCUUACAUCAUCAUCAACAUCAUUGUCUUUCAACUUGUAGUAUAACUCCCCACACAUCGGAUAAUGAUUUAAUUUUUCAUACUCUUUAUUGUAUAAUAUGCAAUUAUUACAACAUGUAUGGAUUUUGAUAUAUUCCAUACUCAUCUUGGCCUUGUAAUCAUGAUUCGACAAUGCGUUAUCUUCUGGAACAUUUCUUUCAACAAUUUAAACAAUUCAGUGAAACUUUUAUUCGUCCAUCCAUUUUUAUCUUUAGAUUAAAUAUUCUUAAUACCGUUGAUAAUUGUGUAAAAUUUAUGAAUCCCAGAUAUAACGAUUCUUACUUGUCACUACAUAAAGUAACAGACACAUGAGAUCUUCUAAAAGAAUCUUCUUUAAUAUCAUAGAUAUCAUCUUUAAUCAUUCAUAUCUACAUCAACUUCCUCUUAUGUGAGACACAACUGAGAUUUUUUGUCACUUCACCAUGCAAUGUCCAUGUCGCAUAAUGUUGAUAAAUUUUAUAACAACAUAAAUGAUUCAAUAUUUUUUUCUUUCCAUAUUUUUUUGUAUUCUCACAAAAAAAAGGACAAUAAAAAAUUAUAUUAUUGUGAAGACUACUUCUUUUAACGAAUUAAAGAAAUUCAAUCACUCCAUUCUCAUACUUCGUACUCAAUCUAUUAGUUUUCAUUCAAUUAUAGUCCACACUAAUUUUCUAAAAGUAAAAUCAAAAUCUAAUAACUACUCUCUAAUUCUAAAAAAUGAGUAUAAAAAAAUAGUGGAACCUUGCAUAACAUUUUAUUGAACAAAAAGAGAUACAUGAAACGGAAAUGACAAAGCAAUUUUUUUAUUCUUCUAGAAUAAAAACAAUCACAAUUAUUCAAUGAAUAUUAGUUGCAACUAACAAAUAUUCCAUUAGAUGUGAAUAAUGUGUAUAAUAUUCAAUAACACUAUAGCAAAUUGGAACAAACCAGAAAAACAACCUUAUCAUAUGCAUAAAAAAAACAAAUUUGGAAAUUAAUAUAAAGGGAACAAACUUAUUUUUUACUUUUAGAAAACUUUGUAUAUCGAAAGUUGUUCCUUUUUAUAAUAUUUUUUAAUACACUAGUUUUUUUAUAUGUUAGGUGUGCUCUUUUCUCUCCAUCUACUCUGGAAUAUAGAUAUUAAUUUUUUUUAUAUGUUAGGUCUAUUAGCAACCAUGACCCGAUGGCAAGAUAUGACGAAAAAUAUGUACCAACAAAUUAUAACUAGUUGUGUUGGGUUUAAACUCCCUUCCCAUGUGGAAAAGGGCUCAAAUAUGAAUAGACUAUUUGUCUCAAUUAUUUAAGUGGAGAUGAUCAAUUUAGGGUUGAGAGGGACAGAGAGAAAAUAAGAAAUCAAAAGAGAGAAAAGAUGUGAGAAAUUCAUUCCUGUUUUUCGGCAACCAGUAUCACUAAAUCGACGAUCCCCGAUUUGUUAACUGUCGGAUCGAGCUCAAAUUUGGAGAGUAUGUUCAUUACACAUGUAUCUAACGUUUGAUCAUUCAUAAUUUUAAAACAACGUCUGAGGCGAGAGUUAUCUUCUUCGCAUUGAAACUGCAGAUUUGAGAAAUGUUUCAGCUUUUUUAUUUUUAUUUGUAAGCUAGUUUGUUUUAUGAUUUGUGAUUGUUAGCACUAGUUUGUGAAUAAUUUUAAGACUUUAUUGUACCCUUAAUUGAUUAUAGUGGAACUAUUUCUUUGGUGUACACGAUUCAUAGUUUUUAAUCUCAUAUUGAGGGAUUUUCCACGUUAAAAGUAUUGGUAUUCUUUUGUGCCUUUAUUUGUUCGAUUUGUCGUCUUAUAUUUGUUAUUGAUCCCCAAGAUACCUACGAGUCUGGGGAAUUUUAUAUCAGUUACAUAUUGAUCUAUUAUUGUGUCUUAAUUUCCCAUUAGACAUCAUAUAGUAUGCACGGGAAGAUGGGAAAAAUCCUUUUAUCAAUUAUUAACAAACCAUAGAUAACUUCUUUCACAAGAAUAGAAUGGGGGCAUGUGAGAGAAUAAUAAGACAAAUACAUGAAAGGUUAUACAUGAGUUUAUUAUGUCACAAAAUACACUAAUUUAAUUAGAAUCUUACACUUAAGUCAUACAUGUGUUGCUUCGUCUUUUCCUUUUUAUUUUUUAAUUUAAAAUGAAAAUAAUUGAAAUAGGUUUCCUAUUAGUUGGGAGGCACAAUCGAUAGUUAGUUUAGUUUUUAGUUAAAAAAUUAUUAAAAAAAGAAUUGCACCAUUUGAAACAGUAUUUUAUUUAAAUAAAAUUAAAAAUUAUACUCAUUGGAAUUUAAGUCGUGUCUCUGAGAAAUUUUUUCAAUAGAUUUCGAGCCUAACUCAAAGAAUAAAUAUUUUAAUUUUUAAUUAAAAAAUGAAAGGCAUCAAUUGAAAAAUAAAGUUAAAAAAUUCUUGAAUUUUUUUUCAAAAUAAUCAAUAUUUUAAAAAAAAAUAUCAAAAUAACCAAGUUCAAAAUAAUCAAUAUUUCAAAAAAAAAAAACCAAAAUAACCAAGUUUGAUAGAGAUGCAAGGUAGAUUAAUAAGUUAAUAAAACUUAUCACCGGGAUAUUUCUGCAAAGUUAAAUAAAAUAAUACUAAGAAAUUAAAUAAUAGUUACGCAUUGCACCAUGAAAAAAUAUUAUAUUUGGUAUACUUAAAGAACUUGAUGUUUUUAUAAUAAAAUAAAUUUUGGUUAAAAGUUAUUCAAAUAGUUUAUUGAUAUUUUUAUAAUAAAAUAAAUAUAUUUGGUAUACUUAAAUUUUCUAAUAUUAUUAAUGUACUCCUAAAUUAAAUAUGAACUAGUAUGCUACAAUUUUAAUUCCCUUUUAAUGUACUCUCAAAUAUGUAGUCAGGUUGAAUAUGAAUAUUUUAUAUUGAUAAGAUUUUAGUUUGACUUUUUAUUUGAGAAAGUUGAAUGGAAUUGAAACUCAAAUUAAACUUUUUAAUAAAAAAAUUAUAAUUUACCUUAAUAGUAUUUAUUUAAUUGACCAAAAUUUCAUUUGUCUCCCUAUUAUUUUAAAUAAAAUAAUGAUGAUUUUUUUUAUUUCAAAUUUAAGGAUAUACUAAGAAUAAUUUGGUAGAUGAGAAGGGGGAGAUAAUGACAGGUUAAAAGUCUUAUUAAAAAAAAAGUUCCUAACAUAAAUCAAAAUGAAGUUUUCAAUUUAUUAAAAAUAGAAUAAACAAAAAAAUUUCAACUAAGAAUAUUUUAUUCGACAUUAAUUUUUAUAUAAACUAAAAAUAUUUAUCUUUUAACAAAUAGAAUAAGCAAAUAUAUUUAUUUUAUUAUAAAAACAUCAAUAAACUAUUUGAAUAAACUAUUUGAAUAAUUUUUAACCAAAAUUUACUUUAUUAUAAAAAUAUUAGAUUCUUUAAGUAUACCAAAUAUAAUAUUUUUUCAUGGUGCAAUGCGUAACUAUUAUUUAAUUACUUAAUAUUAUUUUAUUUAAUUUUGUAGAAAUAUCCUGGUGAUAAGUUUUACUAACUUAUUAAUCUACUGUAAUUAUAUAUGGUAUAUUAAAUAUAUGAUGAAACAAAUUAACAUGAAGGAUUUGUGGCUCAAUGGUAAUGCAUAUGACUCCAAAUCAGAAGAUUGUGUGUUUGAGGCGCCAAUGCAUGUGCGCUAAUGCUACUGGCGCCUCCUCUUAUUGGUAUGUGGUUGUGCCAAUUUAUCUGACGCAUCAUCUACCAAAUUUGGUUAUUUUAGUAUUUUUUUUUUAAAAUUGAUUAUUUUAGAUUUUUUUUUGAAAAAUUUAAUUAUUUUGAAAAAAAAUUCGUAAACUCUUUGUAAAAUCUAUAUUUUAUUGUAGUGUAGUUAUUCACGGUUCAAUUUGCAAUAUGUUCAUGUUAAUAAUUUCAAUAUGAAAGUUUGAUAUUAUAUUGCAAUUGGAAAGAUUAUUUAGAUUCUUUUAAUAGAUGAAAAAAUCAAUUUUAUUCGAUGUGGUUUUUUUAUAAGAAAUUUCAUUUCAUGUGAUUUUUUUAUAGGAAAUCUCAUAGAUAUUUGAUUGUCAUUUUGGAAGAGGCAGAAACAAGUUUAAAGAUUUAUAAUUGAUUUUAUUUUAUUUGAAUAUUUUAAAAUAGAAUGGAUUAUGUUUCGACAAUUGAUCUAUUUAAGUUAAGAUUUGUAAUUUUUGAGUUUAAGAAUGAUUUUUACACUUAAAGGUAUUGUUUAGCGCACUUUUAUAUGAAUCUAUCAUAACAUAAAUUACAUUACAUUUAACACACUUUAAAAAAAAUCAAUUUUAUACAAUCAAUUUUCAAAAUUAAAUAUAUUAUUUUCAAGCAAAUCUACUGAGAAUCUUAGUUCUGAUAAUAUAUGGUUUGAAUACAUGUUAAUAAACCAUGAUAAUUCUUCUCUUAUAAAUUGGUUUUGUAAGAUUGAGUUAGAUCAAACCCAUAAAUUUUAUUAUGAUAUCAUAGUCUCGUUUAAGAUUCUUUGGACCACAUAUUAUGAGACUUCUUUCUAACCAUUUAUGAUCAUACUCUAGAUAUUUAAUCUUAAACGUGAGUGUAUUAAGAGUCCUACAUUAGAUAAUAUAUAAUCUAAAAGUGUGUUUAUAAAUAGAGAAAAUCUUCAUCUUAAAAGUCAAUUUUGUAAGAUUCAACCCAUAAUUCUAAGAGAGGAUAUUGUUGAUUAUAUUCGAUAAUAAGUAAUUAACAAAUAAAAAUAAGUUUUUUAUGGUCAAGUAAAUAAAUUAUUAGCCAAAGUAAAGUACACUUUAUUUUUGUCAUAAAGCUAAAAUAAACUAUUAGUUAAACGUACUAGCAUCACUGUUAUUAUACUAGUUUUUUCUUUUUUUGACACAACUGUUAUUAUAAUAGUUAGUUAACAAUCUUUAAUAAACUAUUAGUUAAAGAGAUUAAUAUCACGGUUAUUGUACUAGUUAGAUAACAAUGAGUAACAUAAAGCAAGUUUUAAAGUGAAGUUUCGAUGAAAUGCAAAAAUUAUAUAUAUUGGUUCAUAUAAGCAAAGCAACGACGAAAAGGACAUGAAAGCAAUGUCUUCUUUUUAGUUAAAAGACAAUGGUUUACACCAUAAUAUGGCUGCAAUAGGACAACAACUAAAGAGUUGGUGAAUUAUCAAGCCUAUAUGUAUUAUCUUCGACUCGAGAAUCAUUCUUGGAAAUCUCCCGGUUGUCUUAUAACGAUUGGAUUAUAUAUACGCCUAGUUCGAUCCCCUCACCCUUUUUUGAAUUUAAUCUAUAUUUUUUGUUUAAUUUCUUGGUAAUUGUUUUAAUUUUAUUUAUACUUUUUGGUUGUUAUGAAAACUUUUUCAAAUUUAUUUGGAUUUUUUUCUUUCUGUUCCUUAAAUAGAUUAUCGCGAGCCAUACAUAUUUUGUCGUGGUCUAAAAUCCUAUUUUCAUAAAACAAGUAAUUUUAUCAAUUGAUUAAUAAUAAAUAUACAAAAAAAUUAAAAUGAGUUCAUUUGGUCAUUGUUCUAAAUUGGAUCUAAGACUAAUAUGUUAGAGGCACCCGAUUUAGAAAUCCGAUGGUCUCGUUGGUGCUACAUGAUGAUAAUCAAACAUUGAUAUAGAAAUCAUGUUGAAUAUAUUCCUUUUUAAAAUCUAAAAUUCAUUCUAUAAUUACGAACCUCUAAUAUAGAUGAAAGAUACACUUUCACUUUUUUUAAAAAUCUAAAAUAAAGUGAUUCCUAAAAGUAGCAAGGACUAACGAGAACAACAAAAAUAACUGAAAGAAUGAUAUAAGGAGAACGUAGAUAAAUUAAACAGAUUUAAAUAAUCUUUUGAUCCUUCUAAAUUAAUGAUCUUUUUAUUAUAAUUUCUGUUUUUUUUGUUUGAGUCUCUAUAUCUCAAAUUUGUGUUGGUUUUAGUCUUUAAAAGUAAAAUUUGCAGGAAACUUGUGAAUUUUCCUGUAGAUUUUGACUUUAGAGACUAAAACCAAUACGAAAUGUGAGAUAUAUGGAUACAGACAAAAAAAAGUACAGGGACCAAAAUAAAAAACUUACUAACUUACAGAGGCCAACAAACUAUUUUAGUCGAUCAAACAACAUAAAACAACACCACAAAACAUAUAUCAAAACAACCCAAAAAGACAUAUUCCCUAUCGUUCAUCAAUGAACACAAGGGAAGAAAGAGAUCAAAAGAAAAACGACUCACCAAAUAAGGACAAGAUCAACAACUCUCCACCAAAAAGAAACAAGCUAGCCCUCAGCAUCUAGAACCACCAUUAACAAAAACAAAAUCAACCCAAAAAAAGGGAAAGAGCACACCAAAGCCAAGGUGAUAUGAUGAAUCACUCAAAAUGCUAUUAGCUCAUACACUAGAUAAGAUUCACCCGUGUAAGACCCCAAUUUUGACCCUAAGAUCCCUCAUGCAAAUCCAUCAUAAGCAUUGGCAUUGGGAUCAUGCCUUGGCAUCCUCCUUAUCCCUCUUUCAUUGGGUUUGUUUUAGGAGAGAUCAGCAAGCACUUUGUGAUUAUAUCAUACUUGUUUUUUUUUAUCAUUUCACUAACCAAAAUACCAAAAAUAUAUCUUUGCAUUUGUCUAACUCUUUUGUAGGUAGGGCAUUGAUCUCAUUUGAUUCAUCAAGUUCAUAUCUAGGGUUUGAGACCCUCAUGAACAAAGAGCACAACCAAGAAUUGAUUCAAGAAUGGUUAUGAACAUCAUAUAUGAGUCUCAAUGAUUCCUACAUGUUAUAUUGAUCAAGUUUUCUUCAAGAGUUUGAGGGUGAUUUGCCUUGGAAACCCUAGUUUGACUAGGUAUCUUGAGUAACUUCUCCAACAAGCUAUCUCACCAAUUGAUCAAAUUGAUCAAGGGAAACUUCAAAGUUCAUCAUAUUAUGCAUAUAUGAUCUACCAUGAGCCAAGAAAGUCAAGAGAAUUGGAAAUUAGCAAGUUGGUUGAUGGUGGUUGACCAGAUGAAUUCAUCUGAUUAAAACUGGGUCUCCCUAGAUCUUAUCUCCUACAAUUUUCACCAUAUGAAAAUGAUUCCAAGAUCAAACUUACUCUAAAUGACAUUCCAAACAACUUUCAUGUUGAUACCUAGAGCUAGUUUUUCUUGGAAAAUCAUCUUCUAUGUUGAAACAUUAUAGGUCAUUUUGUCUAAACCCUAAUUUGAAAGUCAACUUCCCAAGGCCAUAACUUGCUCAAUUUUUAUGAGAUGAAAGAUUUAAAAGUUGCAAAAUCAAAUUCAAUGUGUCUAAUUCAACUUUUAUGUUUGGAGUGGGAGCUAAUUCAACUUUUUUUAGCAUGUGAUAUGAGGCUACAUUAUAGGUCACUUUUAACCUAUACCAUUGAUCAAGUGAUUUUUCCAAACUUCAAAAAUGCAUAACUCUGUCAUUUCAAAUCCAAAUGACAUGAAAUUUGUGACUAUUUUAAAGUUCUUUGAGAUAGCUACAACUUUGAUGAAGACACUUUUCUCAUUUGAAACUCAUAUAAAAAGUUAAGAAAGGUCGAAUAUUGAGACAUAUGCUUGACACUUAGAAAAAUUUUGAUAUGUCAAAAAUUUCCAAACUUCCACCUCAAAUUUCUCCAAGUUCCAAGUUCCAAAUGAAAAAGUGUUGAACAUGAAAGUUGUUCCUCUUGAUCUCACCUUUCCAAAGAGCUUAAAUUCAUUCGUUUUGGACAAGAAAUGCAUAGGCUGCGCAUGGCUUAAAUAGGGUGACAUCACUUGGCAAGGAUCAAGCUUCAAACAUCAAUGUGCAUUUGCCUUGCAAUCCAAGCGUACUUCAGAGCAUCUGAUCUUCAAUUAUGGACCUCAAACAAUCAUUUCAUAGGCCUAUGCACGCCCAUGCACCAUUACAUCACCAUUUGCCAAAAUUGGAAAGUGAAUGUGAGUGUGCAAUUAUCAACCAUUCCAGCUAUAAAUAGAGCUUCAAUUGCUCAGAAAUACACACACAAUCGCGCCAUCUUUGAUCCCCCAUUUCAAACCCUCAAUUCUCAAAGGAUAAGCCUGAAAAAUUCUCUUGAAUUUGAGCUUGAAUCUCCAUUAUUUUGGAAUUCAAUUCUCCAGGAAUCCAUGGCUUUUUAACCAUUCAAUCCUUCUCCUGCAAGCAAGUGGAGUGAGUCCAAGCACAAGCAAGAUCAAGAUCCAUCGAAUCCAGACCUACAUUGAAGGUAUUUUUCUGAAAUUUUGAACUCUUCGAUUCUCUCAAAUUCUUGCUCAAUUCUAUUGAUUCUUUGGUUGUCUGAAGUCCUACUAAUGUAGGCAAGAAGAUUGAGUUGCUUUGAGGUCAAAUCGAAGCAACUCAGUUCAUGUACCUCAAAUUUCAAUUCCAUAUAUCUCUCAAUAUACCUGGAAUUGGAAUGAAUGAAGGUUAGAUUCGAGCUCAGUGCCGUUUUUCUUCAAGAUCAUGUCCUUGUUUUUCAUUAUGUUGAUGGUUCAUGGUGGACCAGUCCGGUGAGGUCCACCGGAGAAGAUGACCGGAGCUCUGGUUCUGACGAUGAGUUGGCUAGCAUCUGAACCACAGGAUCCAUGUGUUUUGUUCUAAUCCUGAGCGUUGGUUUUGAAUACCACAUUUGCUACGCGCUAACUAAGGUCCAUGGUGGAUAGCGCGCUAGGGACCAUCUGAUCUGCCACCUCAAUUAAUGAGGGAGAUCUGAUGGUCCACGUAAUUUGGAUUUUCUGAAUUUUUAUUUUAAUUGCAUUUUCUUCAAUAAUUCAUAUUAAAUUCAAUAUUUAUCCAAAAAAUAUGGGACUUUCACCAAAAAUUUUCAAAUAUUUUUCUCUUUCAUAUUCUGAAUUAAAAUUAUUUUUUUGGAUCAUUAUUAAUAUUUUUCAUGAAUUAAUUGAUUUUGCAUUUAUUUUUAAUUUUUUAAAAAUAUUUUUAAAUGUCCAAAAAAUUAUGAAUUUUUUUCUCCAAGGUCCUUUGACCUUGUUUGACCUAUGAUAAAUCUCAUGGCCAUUUCUUUGGUGUUUUGAUGAGAUUUUAGGAAUUGGACAAAACAUAUUUGAUUUAAAUGCACUAUUUUUAUUAUUUUAUUGAAUAAAUGCCAAUUAAAUUUUGUUGACCAUUUGUAUUGACUUGUAUGUUUGCGUAUUGUUGUUGGGCCUUGGUCAAGGUUGAUUUGACUUUGUCAAGUUAAUAUCAUUGAUUUAGGGGAUUGAUGGAAUGUACAUUCCAUCUCCCAAAUUGAAUGAAUGAUAUUAAUUUAAUAAAAAGUCCUCCUUUGACCAAUUUGUGAUCUCAUUCAUCCCCUUCCCACUUCAUCUCAUGCCUCUUCUUAAUUCAUUCAUUUCAUUUGGCCUAUGAUAUCUCAAAGUCCUAAGCUAGUUGAUUGAAAAAUUAACAUGAGUAUGGAUGAGAUUAGGCCACCCUUUUGCAUAUUUCUUUUUGUGUGUGGUAUGUUUCAUGAGCAUAGUCCAUUAUACUAUGUCUCUAACAUGCAUUAACACCAAAAUUCUAUUGCCCGGCCUCAAAUAGUUGUGACUUCUACAUAAGUCUAAUUUAGAUUGCUUAACAUAGCGCCUAAAUUUGUGACAUAAAAGGCAUAAGCUUAUAGUUAGUGAAUUGUAAGUCUCCCCUCUUUCAUGGUAUUGUGUGGAAACUUGGCCUUCUUUCCUUCCUUUGGAAGAUGUUUUGGUUCAAGGAUCCAUGCUUGUGAUAAGUGGGUUGAGUGUUCUCCAAAGAAUAUAUUGAAAUGAAAAGCAAAACAAAAUUAACUCCUAACCUACUAACUACUAACUUUUAAUUUCAUGAUUUUACUUUAAUGCAAUUUACUUUUAGCACUCUAUUUCAUUUGCCAUUGUUCAUAUCAUUCUAAUUGUUUAUGUUAAUGUAAUUUUCACUUUGUCCAUUUGGACCAUAUUGUGUGAUAUAUCUUAUUUGUAUAUACUUUGCUUGUUUGUGUGGUCUUUGACCAUUAAUGUACAUAAUAAUAACAAAAAACCCUAAAAAACUUUUGAGUGGAAUGUUGGCUUGAUCUUUAGCAAAUGGACUUAGAAUCUAGGCAACCUCCCUAAGCUAAAGGACUUGUCCAAUACCAACUUGUUGAAGAACCUAGUGCUUGCAAUUUGAACUUCAUCUGAUACCUCCUUGAAGAUCUCUCUAAGAUUCAUCUGCAACAUGAUCAUGGUGUAGCUGUUAUUUUGAACCUGUGACUUGUGGAAUUCAUUUGUUGCAUAGGCUAUUUUGAAGAAGAUCAUGGAGUGGAUAAGCUUGGAUGAGGCCAUCUUUAUUUGAUGCCUUGCUCUUCAAGAUAAUAUAAUUGUGCAUUUGUAUAUUGCUUGAUUCUAAAAAGUCCAAGGGAAUUCUGGGUUUCUAUUGAUAUACUUGUCUAUUGGAUUGCUACCCACUUGGUCAGAUCUUUUCAACUCUAAACUUUUAAUUUUUAUAUAUAGGAUAGUCUCUUCAUCUUCUCCCCAUUUCUUUAAUUUCAAAAUCUCUCCCUCCAUUUUGAAAAUCUUCUUUGUGUGAACUACUUUUGUUCUAAACUUUGACCACUUUUGCAAAAAGAUAGAAACUUUGGCCUUAUGCCAUUGCAUUUUCAAACUUCUUUUCUUAAAUCAAACUUGUAAAUAAAUCUAACUAUACUUUACUUAGACUUUCAAAAAGGCAAAAAGAAUUAACUCAUUCAAACUAUUUUAGGCCUUUGUGCCUUUCAAACUUAAAUUUUGUUAAAAUCAACACACUCAUUUUGAAUUUUGUAUCACGAACUACGAGAUUUUGAUCCCUCAUUUUUAUGUUGGUACGUAGGCACAAGACCGAAUGUCUUGUCAAACACAAAAAUAUAAUUAAUGAAUUCUUUUCUCAUCCCCCCAUUCUAUUUGUUUGUAAACAUCACUUUGUACAAAAACAUAUAUGCACACAAAAAGGGCUCCCUAGGAGUACCUAUGACACUUUGGGUGCUAACACCUUCCCUCUGUGUAACCAACCCCCUUACCUGUGAUCUCUGACUUUUAUUAGUUUUUAUUUGAAAACUUCUUACUCCCUAGGAGUACCUAUGACACUUUGGGUGCUAACACCUUCCCUCUGUGUAACCAACCCCCUUACCUGUGAUCUCUGACUUUUAUUAGUUUUUAUUUGAAAACUUCUUACUUUUUGGGUUUUGUUCGUACUUUUCCCAUUUUCCCUUGGAAACAAUAAAAACGCGGUGGUGACUCUUGUUAUUUGAUCUCUAGCUUGUCAAUAGCUUGACGAUCAUGAAUUUCCCGCUACAACCCACCAAUAGAAGAAAUGACAAAAUAUGUUUGAAGGUUUCUCGAGAUACCAUCUAUAGGCCAGAGCGAUGGACAUAUCUUCCAAGUUAUUGACGUUUAUAUAUAAGCCCCUACAAAAAUCAAAUCAUUCUUAGACUUAUAGAUAUACUAAAUCACUAUAUGUCAAACCAUAACAAAACUAUCUCUUAACUCAAGAGAACUAGUUGAGGAAAUAAAAAUCUCACACAAAACCAACAUAUUAUUAAGGAGAAUCAAAGGUAACUUUAACCACAUAGAUAUCCUAUACCACAACUCAGAGGUCACCCUACAAGUAACAAAGAGGUGGGAAGCCGACUUUACAUGACCCCCCCCCCCCCUUCGAAAUACCACAUGAAGCCAAUGAUAAAUAAAAAACAACACCCCUCUUCUACAUGUUAAGCCUAGAAGAAAACUUAUCCAAAAGGAUCUUCUAGAAGAAAACAACAACCUUUAGAGGGGCCAAACUCACUCAAAAACAAGACACCAACCAACCUCGUCUAAUCAAGGGCAAAUAAGCCCCUAAAUUAGCCGCAAUGAGAAAAUUAUAAGUCGAUGCCAUAAUGUAAACACCAUUUUCCCGCCCUCCCACCACCAACAGUCAUUGUCUAAGUUAAUAUUAACACCUUUAGUAACCUUAUAAACUCCUUCACAAAAGCAUUCUCCCAAAAAAAAAUGGCAUACACCACUGAAACUGUCAACUAACCUGGUUGUUAGAACUGAUCUUCCAAUAUCUAUAUCUCUGUAUGUACAAAUCUUUCUCCCAUAUCUAGAACUCCACAAGAGCUGUAACACCCCUUUUUCUACCCCAAAAUACUUAACAUAUAAUCAGAGUAAAUAAGCACGCAUAUAAACAAAAGGGCGUCACAUCGACGUUUUCAAAAACUAAAAGCUUUCAAAAACCAACAUCAUAAACACCCCUUUUUCUACCCCAAAAUACUUAACAUAUAAUCAGAGUAAAUAAGCACGCAUAUAAACAAAAGGGCGUCACAUCGACGUUUUCAAAAACUAAAAGCUUUCAAAAACCAACAUCAUUCAUCCUCGAUAUACAAUACACCUGGUCAUUUAAAACAACACAUUUCAAUUAUCAUGAAUAUUCAAGAAUAUGCGUUCGCAGCGGAAAAUAAUGAAUAAUCAUGUAUUUCAUAAAAUGAUUCAUGUCCCAUACCAUGAUCAUCUCUCAAUAAUCUCUUCAAGAUAAGAUAAAACCAUAUUCCAGAAUAUUUGGCAUUAUAGCCUCUCAAACAACAAAUGCAAUUAAACAUGUUCACAAGUAAUAACAUAAUACAUAUCCAAAUAAGAUAUGAGUUCAAUACUACCAAUCUACCCAGUGUUACAUGACCUGAGCAUUGACUCACUACCUAGUCUCCAAACUAAAACACGGAAACUCUCCGGCUAAUCUCGAGUAAGCUACCUUCCACUUACUUCAGCAAUACUACUCUUGAGUAUCUGCACGAUGCCCAUCUAAAGCAACAUUCAAAUAGAAGGGUGAGAAUUCAAAUCAUUAUGAAGAAGUAUAACAAAGCACAAUGAUUAAAUCAACAGUUAACGGAAUUCAUCACACCUUGUAUAACCAUGUCAAUAAUAUUAACCAACAUUUAUUUCACAUGUUUCAAGCAUACAUCAAAACUCAAGGAGUAUAACAUUAAAAUCCAAUACUAUAUUCUCAAUUAUACACAUAACUACAAUUAUCACAUAAUUACAUAUUUUUCCAAGUUAUGUAUCCAAACAUCACCAAAUUCAAUUACCAUAUCUCAUACACACAUCACAAUCACAACAAUGCAUCCAUUCAAUUAUCACAUAACUCUAAUGUGACUCAAUGCAAGACAUGUGACUCUAUGCAUGUGGUACCGCAAUGUGAACCCAACGUUUCACCGCUUUCUCUAAGUUAUAGAUCUUAGGUUCGGUGCGAAGCGAUCCGGACAAGAUCAAAGCCACUACGUCUAUUUCCAAUUAAGGAUCAACGUCUGCUACGCCUAUUUCCAAUUAAGGAUCAACGUCUAUGUGAACUCACAGUUUCACCGCUUUCCGAUUCAAUAUCUAGAAUCCAAGCCACUACGUCUAUUUCCAAUUAAGGAUCAACGUCUGCUACGCCUAUUUCCAAUUAAGGAUCAACGUCUGCUACACCUAUUUCCAAUUAAGGAUCAACGUCUGCUACGCCUAUUUUCAAUUAAGGAUCAACGUCUAUGUGAACCCACAGUUUCACCGCUUUCCGAUUCAAUAUCUAGAAUCCAAGCCACUACGUCUAUUUCCAAUCAAGGAUCAACGUCUGCUACGCCUAUUUCCAAUUAAGGAUCAACGUCUAUGUGAACCUACAGUUUCACCGCUUUCCGAUUCAAUAUCUAGAAUCCAAGCCACUACGUCUAUUUCCAAUUAAGGAUCAACGUCUGCUACGCCUAUUUUCAUUCAAGGAUCAACGUCUAUUACCAUGUGAACCCACAGUUUCACCGCUUCCACCAUGAAGCCGACCAUGCCAUGAAUGAAUGUACAAAUACCAACACAUAUGCAAAAUUCUAGUAGAGAUGGUAGAUAACAUUCCACAUAUCACCAUAAUUCACCUCUAUGAAUUAUCCACCAAUGGUACAUAUACACAUUCAUAACAAUAUAUCAUUCACAAAUAUAGGCUAAUUAUCAAACACACACACUUAGAUUUCAUUCAAAAUGAAUACAAAUUUUACAAUUCUUCAUUUUUCAACAGUGUUAACCGGUUAACGCGAGACAGAAUGCACUUCCUGGCAGAUUUUCAACAGUGUUAACCGGUUAACGCUUUUGGUUAAUCGGUUAACGCAAAACAGAACACAAUUUCUGACAGAUUUUCAACAGUGUUAACCGGUUAACGCAAAACAGAAUCAACUUCUGGGCAGGUUUUUAGCAAGUAACCGGUUAACGCUCUUAGGGUAACCGGUUAACGCAAAACAAAAUGCAGAAUUUUCUGCAUUUUUCAUCGUUGGAGGACUUUCGGACCUCCAAUUUCGAUUCUGUAAAAAGCCAAACACUCAGAAAAUUAUAACUCAUACAAUACGCUAAGUAUAUAAGGUUAAUUUACAGUUUUAACAUAAUUAAAUCACCACAAAUCAAGAAUACUCAUCAAAACCUAACAAUUCCAAAAACCAUGAAAUUUAGGGAUUUCAACGUAAAUAUAUUUCUAUCCAUUGACCCAAUCAUACUAACCCAUAAUAAUAAGGAUUCUCCCCCUUACCUCUUCAAUUUUCUGGAACCUUAGCUUCUCUCUUGUUCUUCCCCUCUUCUCCUUACUUUUCCUCUUUUCUUUCUCUAUUGCCGUCAAAUGAUCAAAUGAAUCCUACUUCUCACUCUCCUCACCUCUUAUAUCAUAGUAUUAUAUUUGGGCUUAAAGAAUGAUACCUCUAAUUUAAUUAUUAGGCCCAAUAAUACCUAGUAUUAUAAUAUCUCUAUUUAAUUCAAAUAAAUUAAACCAACUCAAUAUCCACACCAAGUUAAUUAAUUCAAUUAUUCAUUAUAUCUCAUAUCAACUAAAUAAUUAAUUAACAACACCAAAUUAAUUAAUAUAAUCAAUUAUUAUACUACCUAACAACCAAUUAAUUAAUUAACACUCUAAAUAAAUAAAAUAAAAUAUAAUAAUAAUAAUAUAAGAAAUAAAUAUUAAAAUUGGAUUGUUACAAGAGCAUUCUCUCAACUGAUCUCGUAACUGUCGCAUCCACCUCAAUUUUUUUUAUAAAUAUUAAUUAAUAAAAAAUGAGAAAAUAUUUUUGAUAUAAAAAUAUGUCAAUUUUUCGUACAAUAGUCUUCAUUCUCUCAUCAAACUCCGUAUAUAGUUGCAAAGCAAAUGUAUGCAACUAGUAUUUUUUUCUUGAAAACUUGAUUUUCAAUUCAAAAGCCACACCGCGUUUGCAACAUUACUUGAAAUCACAAACUUUCUCAUUGUGUCGAUACCAAUAAAACUAAAAAUAAAUGAAAUUUCCCUAAUUGAUGUGACCUUGGUUUUGACUUGGAAGUCUUCUAGGAAGACUUCAACAAGUCAUUUUUAACUUUUUGAAGUAAAUCAUGAUAUCAAGCCACGUUCGUUCCUAUCUAUCAAUUAUAGUACUACUUUCUAAUUUCUUCUAGUACCACUCUUGAAUCUUAUAGCUUUUACCAAAUCAAAGUCUUACAAAAUUGUUUACUACAAAACUAAAGGGCAACUUCAUCACCUCUUUCCACGAAUUUUCUUCAUUCCCUGCUUCAUAGGUUCCUUAUUUCCUCUUAUAUAGCAAAUUUGUCACAUGUAAGGGUGUAAUUCAGAAAAAACAAAGUGGGAGUGUUCUUGCACUAUAAUACUAUAUACUAUAGCACAAACUUUAUACAGGAAAAAUACAAGUAUGUAUUAAAGUUCUUUAGUGAGGAGGAAAUUUCGUAACAAGCAAUUCCAAAUUUAAAUAUUUUAAAUUUGAUAUCAUUAUGUCGGAGAUCUUCUCUAUUUUUAUUUUAUUUAAAUAAAGAGUUUUAUAUAGGGAUAUAAAAACACAAAAGAUUAAGAAAAUAUAAACAAUUAAAUAAUGAAAACGAUUCGUGUUGUGUUAUCUAUUUUGUGUCUUUUCCUCUCUAUAUUGUGAAUGUAUGAUUUGAUACAUAGGUGUGAUGGGUUCUACUACACGAUACACAAAUAAAAUUACUAUAUUAAAUUCUAAUGAUUUUAGAUGUUUUUUAUUGAAUAAAAAUAUUAGUUGAUUUUUCAUAUAAAAUUUAUUAUAAAGUUUUAUCAUGUUAUUUUAAUGUUCACUUUAACUAAUAGAAUACCCGUGCGGACGGACGGAUAAAUUUAUUUAAAAAAAAGUAAAUUUUGAUAUAAGGAUGUAGAAUUUUUUCUUAUUUUUUUGUUAAAAGAGUGGAAAUUAAAAGUAUGUUGAAGUAUAAUAUUUUUCAUAUUUCAUAUAUUGUGCAUAUAUUAGUAUAGGAAAAUGGUUAAUUAAAUGAGAUUGGUCAUUGUAUAGUUUAGAUUUGUUCAUUGUUAGUUUAGCAUGGAAAUGCUUCCUAGGAAAAACUCAUGUAGAGGUAAUAGUAUAUAAGAAAUAGUAAAUAUAAGGAAGUAAUUAUCUAACAUUAAACAAAAAGUCAUGUAGAUUUAGUAGUAUAGAACAUGAAGUAGUACAUAAAAUAAAUAUUAAUAAAUAAAAUAAUUGUUUAGACCUAGACAAUAUUAUGAAAAACUCUUUUAAAGACAAUAUUAGUUGUUUGAGAUAAACUUUUGUUGUCCUUAUCAUGAAUUAAGAUUUUCAAUCCAUCCUUACUCUUGACUCUUGACAUUAUUGAUAACAUGAAAUAAUAUCAAAUUUUUGGACUUGAUUUAAUUAAAUUAUAUUAUUAUUUGAUUUGAUUUAUUUUAUAUUAUUCGAUAUUACUUGGUAUUUUCCUUCUAUUUAUUUCAGGUAACAUUAUUUGAAGCAUACGUGAAAAAGAAAGAAAAGGGGGUGCAAAAAGAGGAUUCCCUAAGGAAAAGCAUUCCACUAAAGUCCAACCCACAAGGAAAAGCACUGAGACGUGUGACGACCGCCACACAAGGUGUGACGAGCGUCACGCUCCUCUGCUUAGUGUUACGAGCGUAACACAUGGUGUGACGAACGUCACACCCCAUUCCUAUUUUUUUGGCUUUGACGCGUAACAAAAGCACGUUCGCCCUUUUCUUCGCUUGACUAGUUGACGCAUACUGAACGAACUUUGGAAGAAACAGUUACUUUAUGGAUGAAUAUAAAUAGACCCAAUUGUGGAAUCCUGCAGGAGACUCACAUUUUUCCAGUUUUCGGUACCGUGCAUUAUUUUUCCUGCUUUUUAAUUUUUCAGCACUCUACUUUCUUAGUUUUUUUUCUUUUCUUUUCCAGUCAAUUUCCAAAGCAUUGAACUUAUUUUUUUUUCACACUAGUUUCUACACCGGAAACUAUUGUGUACUUUUUACUGGAUCUAACCUUACGUUAGGUCAUAGUAUUUUAUUCCUUCGUCUUUAUUUUCCUGUCGGAUCGAAGAUUGUAAGAACAAAUCCAACCGACCUGUGGUGGAGUGUUCAAGCAUCGAAGCUAGGGGAUAACCAAGAUUUCUAUUAAUUUUACAGGUUCAUUAAUUUAUUGUUUUAAUUUAUAUAUGCUCUGCACUACUGUUUAUCUAUACUGUUUGUCUGAUAUGGCUGUAUUUAAGCAUAAUUAUUGUUUAGGCUUGUUUAGCAUGUCCGGCUAAAUAAACUUAGAUAUCGGUAUGUACAAUAAGCGGAAUAAAGGAAUCAAAACUAAGUUGGUUUAAAUUUAUUUAAAAAUACAAUCACUCUUUUUAUGGUCUCAAUUUACAGAGUUAAUACCAAAGUUUUUGUACGAGAGUAAAAGACAUAAAGAAGUUAAAAUCAAUAGAAUGACGGUUUGAGCUUUUAACUGGACAAUGUAAUUUGGACAUUAACUUUAAAUCAGGGCGAGAGCAAUUUUUAAGGUUAAUUAAAUUCUAAUAAUUUUCAAAAAGUAUUUUUAAAGGUUAAAUGUGAGGACGAGAGUUAAGCAUUUAAGUUUAAUCAUAUAAUCUAAGUCAACAGAGCGAGAGUUUGAGACGAGGGUGUUUAAACGGUUAGUAUUUUCAAAAAGAGUUCUAAGAUUCUAUUGCUUUCAAAAGUUGAUUUUAGACUAACUAGAUAGUGGAGAGCGUUACGUUAGUUUAAAGUCAUAGUUUUAUUCAACAGAGCAGAGAGUUUGAGAAGAAGACUUUUAAUGCAAUAGUGGUCUACUGAAAAGAUUUAUCUUAAACUAAGAAACCAAGCGAAGAUUUGAUUCCCUAAUAUACGCGGAACUACAUUACCGAUUAUCCGUGUUAUUUGAUAUUUAAUCUAGAUCCAAUUUGAGUUUUACUUUCCCCCCUACAAUCAUCAAAGUAUCAUCCGCCUUAGCUUUACGAAGUAACCUUAGAAAAACGGUAUAUCGAUUCAUUAAGUCCCUGUGGGAUCGAUAUCUUUUAAAACUACGCGAUUAGACUGUGCACUUGCAGUUAUCACCCCAAUAGACUCAUAAAGUCGCGAUCAAUUAUCACAUAGAAUUGAUCGUGACUGAAGACAACUUUGGGCAAAUACAAACCAACAAAGUCUAAAAAUUGUCCUUGAGAUUUGUUUAUUGUCAUUGCAAAUGAAACAACAAUUGGAAACUGCCUUCGAAUAAGUUUGAAUGGCCAAGGAGAUUGAGAAGGAGAUAAAGACAUUCUAGGGAUGUAAAUAGUAUUUCCCGAAGGAGAAUAACGAUCCAAAACGCAGCGAUUUUUUUUUCUCCUUUAGUGAUCCUUACGAAUGAGCAUGAUUAGUGAUAAAAUUGUUACCUCUUGUGGCGAUUGAAACCUUUGAUUCAGAUCUAAGGAGCGAUCACGAACGUUGAAUGGUGACAACGCCUCUACUCAGUCCACACGAACAAAUUCCUUCAGUCUCAGUGCUAGCUGCUACGAAUGAAUGCUUUGAGUGAGUGAGUGAGAGAGAGAGAGAGAGAGAGAGAGAGAGAGAGAAUAGCUGCUACGAAUGAAUGCUUUGAGUGAGUGAGUGAGAGAGAGAGAGAGAGAGAGAGAGAGAGAGAGAGAGAGAGAGAGAGAGAGAGAAACGAAAUUUCAACUGUACAAAUGCUUCUGCAUAAAGAUUCUAUUUAUAGAACCACUUGUGUGGGAUGUAAGCUAAAAAGUCCACUUAAGUGUAUGCGGCCCAUAUCUUAUGAUAUACCAAAAUCACUUAAGCGCGUGGUACCUUACCAUAUUUCAUAUUCUACUCAAAUGCACCUUACCUUACGAUGUUCUACAAUUCACUUAAGUGCACCGUACCUUACGGUGUUCCUAAUUUACUCUAUCUCUCAUCAAUCCGUCCUUUUGUGUGUGACCCUGUAGGUUUUCACGACAUUGACAAUUAUAUUAAAUCACGUAUUUAACAUAAUAAAUAGUGAGCGGUAUCUAGGAACACAUCACUACUUCCCAAGACACGAAAAUGUCAUGUGAUCUGACAAAUCCUUUUGUGAUAAUACUUGUGUGUACAAUUACCCUUUUACCCUUAUGUCUAUAUUGAACACAAGGCAUUGACCGUGUCAUCCUUGUUCAGUUUGUUAGACUAUGGCACGGAUCUAGAAGGGGGGGUUGAAUAGAUCCCAAUUAAAAACUUGAGUCGGCGCUACCAAUUUGAGAGAAAAUUGGUUUUGAAAAUUUAUUUUGAAUGCGGAAGCGGCCGAGGAAAAUUUUAGUCUAAAACGAAUCGUUAUUGGAAAACCGAAUAUGCGUUAAGCUAAUGGAUUAGAGAUAAAAUGAAAUACUAAUCACUACACUAUUUGCACACUCAAUUGAUAUAUUUCACUAACUAGCAAGCCUAGUUCCAAUGAUCCAAAAUACCAAAUUUAAACAGAGUGCAAACUUAAGACAACUUUGGCUUAUGCAAAUUCACAAACACUUGGUGUGCAUACACUCCAAGAGAUAUUUGAGUUGAGUAAGUAAUUCAAAUUUAUCUAGUACAAUAUACUAUUGUACUUUGUAUUCAAACAACAGUUUUAGUUUCUUACUCAACUUAUAUCAACGUUUGGUAAAAUUGCUUAAACUAAAAUCACUUAAUUUUUAAGCUGAAAAGCACUUAUGCAGAAAAUUGAAGGAGACAGAGAUUUGAUGAGGCAGUUCCCCCGCCGUCCUCGCUUCGGGGUACGUCUGCCCUCAAUUCUAAAAUUAGAAUUGAGAUGAUUAAUUAGAUAUAACCUGUGAAAUUUAAUCGUUUUUACAAGGAUUGCAAAGCAUGUAAACAACAGAACUUCCAAUGUGUUGAAUGAUGCUUCCUAUCCUUGCUCCUUGAUUCAAGAUGAAUCAAGACCUUCGAUCGUUGAUGCUAGACCUCCGAUUCCAGCCCCUUUGUUGAAGAAUCUUCCGUUCUUCAAACCCUCGGCCCGGCUGAUCUCAAACACAACGAGUCGAACCCGAAUCCUUCACUUCAAUGCCACCGAAUCCGCUACUAGACUGAUGAAGACUUCCCCUUCUCAAUCACCUUCGCUCGGCUGAAUAUUGAUGAAGCGAUUCGUCCAAAAACCCCCAAACACAAACCCGUAUUGGAGGACAAAACCCUAACGGUUUUAUUCAAGAAAGAACCUGCCACAAGCUUCAACCCGAACCGGAUUCUUCGAUCACAGCUUCGAACCUUAUCACCUUUAAUCGAUCACGAACCACAUCAAAAAUGAUUGUGUGUAGUUGAUGUGUUGUGAAACGUUGAAGAUGAAGAUGAUGAGUCUUGGACACCUUUUUCACUCUUUCUUGUUUCCUUGAACACUUGAACUCAAAUUGGCAAAUGUUAGUUGAUAAAAGUGUUUUGACUUCUAUAUAUAGUAACUGACAAAACCAAUCAAAAAUAACAGAAUUUCAAACAGUGGAAAUAACUCAGAAAACUGAGUUUACGCACGAGCGGUCGACCAUAGGUCGGCGUGCGCUGAGCCGUGAGUGAUGCGCCGACCCCUAUGGUCGACCCAUGGUUCCAUGCGCUGACCCAGGAUAGCAUCAUUAUGCUAUGCGCUGACCUCUGGUCGACUCAAGGGAUUUUUGCGCUAACCCGUGAGUUAUGCGCCGACCCUUAUGGUCGACGCAAAGAAGCAUGCGCUGACCAAUCUCAGUUCUGCUGAGCUUUGCGCUGACCCGUGAGCUUUGAGCUGACCCCUAUGGUCGACUCAAGGCCUUCAAAUCUGCAUAAAACUGUGUUUUGUGAUUUUCAUGCAUUUCGUCAUGAUCACACUUUGUCCACAUAUGUUUUUGAUCAUUAUAAUAGGUUUAGACAAACGUAGAAAAGGAUAUGGUGGGUAAUGUGUUUCAUUUGUUUGUAGACGUGCAUGAUGGUCUUUUGUCAUCAUCGAAACUUGCGAUCGUAUGUUGUCUGACUCUUUGUCUUUACAUACUCCCCCUUUUUGAUGAUGACAACCUGUAUAAAUCAACGUGACAAACAGCAUGCGGUAUUGACACAUUUUGCACACUCCCCCUUUCUUUUGUAAUCUAAGGCUAUCUGCAGAAAGCUACUGUUAGUUGUGGGCAUUUUUGUCUGCCUGCUUUGUGCACUUUUCUCCCCCUUUGACAACAUCAAAAAGAGAGACAGAGUGAUUAUUCAAGAUAACAAGGAAAUUUCACAGGAAAUAACAUAAACAGAUAAUAAUAACACACCAAUGUCAUUUCUUAGCAAUAGUCAUUUAUUAAGAACAAGUAAAACAUAGAAAUACAUUCAAAAUAACAAUCAAACUACAAGGUGCAUGUGAAUGUCUAUGUCCUAGUGGCGGUGUCCUGGAUGAUAACAAAUGCCCGGGUUUUUGUAAGGGUCAGCCAGAGAUGAAAGGUAUUCGGUGUCACCGUUCAGAUGCUUGAGACUCUCGUCGAUUGACUUUUCCUGAAGUUCAAAUGAAGCCAAAAAGGUUGCAAACCGGUCAUUCAUGCUUGUAGAGAAGGAGUCGAGACGCUCAUUUUGGGCUUGAAGUAGCUCGUUGAUGUGAGCAUAGCGCUCAUCUUGAGCUUGCAUGAAGGACUGUUGAGCGAUCUGCAUAUUGCGCAUCAUAUCCAACAGUUCUGAAGAAUCUGCUUGCUGUGGAGGGGACGGAGGAGAUUCUUCCUCAUCUUGGUGAUACGGCUGGUAAAAUUGACGUUGAGUUGACCAGCCCGUAUGUUGCCAUUCACCCCAGCCACCCCAGCGUGGAACAUCUUCUUCAUUUGUAUGCGACUGCUGAACCCAAGCCGAGCCGGAGUAGUCAUGAGUGUCAACGGGUGGAGGACUAUCAUCUCCACCAUUGUGAUCAAAAUCGUGCCUGGCUUCUUCUUCUUCAUUUUCUUCUUCAUCUUCUUGUUCUUCGCUUUCAUCACUGUCAUCAUCUGCAGGAACAUUUGCUCUUCGAAUAAACUUAUACAUUCUCCGCUCAUUGCACCAAAGAUAUCCCAUCAUAGACAUAGUUUUUGUGCUGAACUCUUUGUCAGAUGAGAUGGAAGUGUACGGGAAAGACGGAUGAUUAACGUUGGCUGCAGUCAGGACCUCUUGAAUGAAGGAUCCGUAGGCAAGAGCCGUUCCUCGUCCGGAGUCACGUAGCCCAAACAUUCUACUGGCAAUGUAGUACGGCCAGUUGAUUUUUAUCUUAUUUUUCAGAAUGUAAAUCAGAUGAACCUCGGCCGGUUCGACUCUGGAGAGUCCGCCCUUCUUUGGUCGCAGGAUUCGUGAGACAACCCACUGAAGAAUCCUUUCUCCGGCUUUCAGCUUGCCGGCAGUGACAGUUCGUGGGAACGCGUCACUGUUCACAAACUGAUCAGGAUAGGGUCGUCUCAGCAUGUCAUUCAAUGCACUCUUAAACUCAUAGCCAUCUAUGUGGUGAGAGUCAGUUACCUCAGGUAGAGGGUUUCCAGCAUUAUCAACAGACAUAUCAAAAUAUUGGUUUCAGAUAUUUGAUUUAAGUGAUACCUUUGUCGGACCAAUUCUAGAGUGAAACUUGUGCCCGCGAAAGUUGUCAUGAAGGCCGGCAUAGAACACUCGAACAAGGUCUUCACUGUAUUUAGUAUUACAUUCCAAGAAGUUGAUAAAGCCCUGAUGCUACAGCAGAGCCAGGACUUCAGGAAGGUGCAUGCGUUCAGCUGCAAGUUUGUAGAACGCAUGUUGUUGCACAACUCCUCUUUUGCCGAAAUCUCUGUUGAAGGCUUCGACACGAGCGGGUGGAACGAGUGAUACAGCAGAUAUGGGGAGAGAUGCGGCGGAUGAUUCUCGGGAUCUCUUGCCGGAAGGUCUGCGUGAUGUGGAAGCCAUUUGAGCAAGUGUGAAACUGAGUGUUUGGGUAUAGAGAGAAGGUUUAAGAAAGGUUUUAAAAGUGAUUCUGCUAGAGAGAGGUUUCUCCCAAUUUAUAGUGGAAAGGUUAGGGUUUUGGGAAGAUGGAAGAUCAAAGAACAAUAGCCACUAGGUAGAUGCAAGUUACAAAGUAGUGGGUAGUUUGAAAGGUGAUGGAAUGUAAAUGCACACUUAAUGAUGAUUUUUGAAUGGGAAUGCAUGAAAAACGAUUUAAAUUUUUCUGCAGAAAAACGAAAUUUUCGAGCGAUGCGUCGACCAUAGCCCUGUAUGCGUCGACGCAUACUGUUUGGUUUUUGAGAAAAUGCAGAAAUUAUUUAAGCGUGCGUCGACCAUAGCCCUGCUGCGGUCGACUCAUACAGUCCAAAUUUCA